rnacentral:lncRNA from 1 species
AGAAGGGAGGCCACCACAAGAAGGGCGGCCAUCACAAGCGCCAUCCUGCCGUUGGCCCUGCAAGUCCGGUGGCCGAGGCUCAACCUUCCACCGUUCCUACAAGUCCACCGAUCGUGCCUCAACCUGCCACCGCCCCUGCGAGUCCACCGAUCGUGCCUCCACCUGCCCGAGCCCCUGCAGCAGCUCCUUCGAUUGCAACUCCUCCGGCGGGUGGUCGCGUUCGGAUACGGCCGGAGGUGAAGAAACUAUUGCCUAGCCUCCCACCAAGCGCCGAGCCUCAAGAGAUUAAGGAGCUCAUAAGCAAGGCCACUGGAGUGGACCCAUCUAAAAUCCCAGAAAUCAGUGAUACUAAAAAGAUUGAGGAAAUCAUAGCCAAGGCUAUCGGAGGGAACGCCCUCCCACCAAAUGCUGAUCCUAAACAGAUCGAGUAUAUCGUAAUGCAGGCCACUGGAAUUAAGCCAUCUGAUGCUUUGGCUGCCCUUAAAGAGUCCGGUGGUCUCGAAACAAUGCUAGCAGUUGCUGCACGUUCACCGGGCAGUAAUGCUGGAGCAGCAGGAACCACUUCCUCGACCAAAGAGGAAAGUGGUGCCUACACCAUCGGAGCAACCUCCAUGGCAACCGCCUUGGUGGCUUUAGUGGCUGCUGGGUGCUUCAUCUUAUGAGCUAGUUGUAAUUAGAAGAUUCUCUCCCUCCCUCCCUCCCUCUCCUUACGUGCUGCAACCGCAACUAUUCACAGCAUCAUUCACAUUAUGCACCUUUACUGUCUAUAUACUGACAAUGAUGUGAUAGAGGAGAGCCGAUUCGUCCGUUGUCAAACUUGAUUAGGCUUGGAGGUUAAAACAGUCGGGAACCGCUCUGCAUUUGAACCCAAGUGAGAUACCAUGGUUUCCACUUUAUCCUCCGUGCUCAUGACACCCUUUUUGUAACUUUCAUCAGGGAUUCUGACAAACAAAAGGCCUUGGCCAAAGUUGUAAAAAUGGAUUCCAUGGAGAAUGUGAAAAGAUUCAAGUUUUGCUUUCUGAGUUCUCGAUUGGGUGGUCAUGUUUGUAAUAAGUAAUUCUGUUUUCAAUAUUUAUGAAAAUCAAUAUUCUAUACGGUUAUUAAUUAUUGUUGUUCCAAUCCACUUUCCAUCAGAUGAACUUUUUGUGUUCUUAUUUUUUAACGUUGUUAUUAGAGUUGCAUAUCAGUCCUAUAACUUAUUUGUAAAGUACUUUUGUGUUUGCGGUUAGCAUGCUCCUAUCAUUUUUAAGCUAAUUAACCAUUUGAAUUCGGACUUAUCACUAGUCACAUUUCUCUGCUUAGUACACAGAUUUUUUUUUCCCGCCUUUUUCGAUGGAUGGGAAGCAAACCUGCCCGAAUUUACUUAAAAAUAAUAAGAUAGAAAAAGUUAAUAAGAGAUAGAGAGAAUAGAAGGACAGGAGAAAAAAGAAAGCAAAAAUUGGUCAAAAAACAGAUAGGCUUAAAAUGGAGCCGGCCACCAAUUACAACACCAUUCACAAUCUAGAGAUACCAGGAAGGUCUUUUUGCCUGCAAUAGAUCGUCCAACCAUUAAAUAAUUGAUCAAGGCAUGCCUAGUAACCAAUUGAACUGAUGAUGCCUUGUUAACUAACACCCUUGAGUUCCUCUAGCUCUUUCUAACAAACCACGAUAGUACUGCAGUAUGGAGUUCAAAGCCUGCUCUUUGCUGCGUUGCGUAGGGCUUCUACAUAACUUCAAUGACAUCCAAACAGCAGCAAGUGAUGAAGGGUAUACACCAAAGCGCAUAAUAUCAACUACAAUUCUCCGUAAGGUUUUGAUGGAGGACUGAAGGAAGAUAUGUACUUCAACAGAUUCUUGGGUCAUUGGGAAGAAAAGCUCUCCCGGGUUACAUCUGAGCUUCCAGUUGAGAGUUGCACUAGUAUUGAGCUUGUUCUUGAAACAUAGCUAGAUAAAGUCCUUAACUUUCAGGGGACACAAGGCAUGAGAGGGUAUUGAAGACCGCGACAAUUGAGGAAGUCAUACAGAGGUGAAACAAAGAAGAUACUUGAACCCUCAAGAUACCAAGUAAACGUUCAGGAGAUGGGGUCAAAGGUGGUGUUUUUAAAAUAAUCUGCAAACACAAACAUGCACAAAUUUCCAUGCCGAUUUGUAGGGAUUUUUUCAAGAUUAUAUACAGAAGAUUAGAACACAACAUCAUAGAUGUAUAGUAUUUGCCAUUGAUUUUCAAAGCCCGAUCAAUCACAGAUGCUCAUACGAACACCGAAGGCUAAAUCCUUCUCCCCAGCUUUCUCUCAACAGGCGGCUAUUCAAUGGGACAAGCUUGAGAACUAGCCUUAUAGUAUUUAUAGGAAGUGGAGAGAGGACCUAGCCAAAUUUAAAACAAACUCUAACUGACCCUCCCAUCACGAACUUAAGUUAGGUUUAGGCCUACACUGUGCUGCCCAACCAUACCAUCCAAUAUAAAGCCCGCAUAACUCAAACACAUGGAUUACCAAUUAUAUUGGGCUUACAUACAUGUCUAUCAACCUGGAUCAUAUAAUCAGUCUGUUUUUAAUAAAACAAAAUAAAUAAUUAAUGGAAGCCUAUAAUCAGGAAAAUUCUCACAUUCUCCCAUUUGGGCAACAUUAAUUAUGAUUUUAAAAUUUUAAAAAUAUUUUAUUUGAAAAAUAACUCUUGAGCUGAACAAUAGAAAAGACAGUACAUAGUCAUGAUUUUUGAAAAACAUACGAUCUAUGGACAGUAUCUUGGAACUGACUUGGUCCAAUAGUAUCAAUUAUAUUGAAUCAUAAGAGUCAUUACAUCCUUUAUUUGACACAGGACCUAUCCAUGGUUACGAACAUCACAAACACUAUCGACAUGAGUCCUAGUGUAGGUAGUGUAGCAAGAAAAAGAGUAUCCAAAAGUGAUCCAAACAUAUACUAUUUUCAUUGUCAGUCCUCCAAUUUCUCUUCAAUAUGCUUGGAUAUAAAAUAAGCAAGAAAAAUUUUAAUAGCUUCAACAACAAGCCAUUCUGUCUCACAUACUCAAUAUGGUGUCAAUGACGAGAUAGCACAAUAUAUCUAAGACUCGACACCUGAUCUCAUAUUUCAUAUAAUAAGUACAUAAAUAAAAAUAUCUCCAAGUGUACUAAAACAAAUAUGUAUAUAUAACUAAGAGAAUUAAUAUAAGUAUACCAUCAAUUUAUCAUGUCAAUAAUAUAUAUCAAUAUUCUUCAUAAGAAUAUGAGAUGAAAAAAAUAUCCAUAACAAUAAAACAUCAAUAAAACAUAUAUACAAAGUCAUUCCCACAAACCAAGUAUAUCAAAAGAACUCAAUAUGCCCAUAUUUUUAAUAUGCCUUAUAAGGCAUAUGGGCCUCAAACUCUUAGUCAGAGAAUCAGCCAACAUAGACUCUGUACCUAUGUGCUCAACAGUUAUGUCCCUUUUCUUCAUAAGGUCUCUUACUGUUAGGUACUACAGCUUCAAAUAUUUAGAUUCACUAGAAGAUUUAUUAUUCUUUGUAAAGAACAUAGCAACUCUAUUAUCAUAAUACAUUGUCAGUGAUUUAGUGGUAGAAUGAACAAUCCAAAGUCCUGCAAUAAGAUUUUUUAGCUAAAAAGUUUGAGUAGCAGUCCUAUAGCAGGUAAUAAAUUCAGCUUGCAUAGUAGAAAAAGCAGUCAGGAUUUGUUUAACAUUUCUUCAGGAUACAGCACCUCUAACUAACGUAAAAGUAUAUCCUGAAGUUGAUUUAAAAUCAUCAGAACAUUCAGCAAGAUCUGAAUCUGAAUAACUCACUAAAUCUAGGUUAUCAAAUUUUCUAUAUACAAGCAUGCAGUCCUUGAUUUUCUGUAAAUACCUCAUCACUCUCUUUGCAACAACCUAAUGUUGGAAGCCUAAAUUUGACAGAUAUCCACCAAGAACUCCCACUAUGAAGGCAAUAUCAAGUCUGGUAUAAAUUUGAGCAUACAUCAGACUCUCUAUAGCACUAGCAUAAGGUAUAUUCUUUAUCUUAUCUUUCUCAACUCAUUCUUGGGGCACUAAUCGUUGCUAAACUUAUCACCCUUGACAAUAGGUGUAUCACAUGGUUUGUAGUUUUGCAUAUUAAAUCUUUCAAGAAUCUUAUUAAUGCAUGUCUUUCAUAACAAAUCCAACAGAUGACGUGAUCUAUCUCUGUAAAUUUGAAUACCUAAGACAAAAGAUGCCUCCCCAAAGUCAUUCAUAUCAAAAGUCCUAGAUAGCAUUUGUUUAGUCUUACUAAGCAAACCAAAUUCACUACUGACAAGCAAGGUAUCAUCGAUAUAUAAAACAAAAAAGAUAAACUUCCUCCCACUGAUUUUGAGAUAGAUGCACUGAUCAACCUUAUUUUUCUCAAAGCUAAGAGAGGUUACCACCUCAUCAAAUUUCAAAUACUAUUGUCGAGAUGCUUGUUUUAAGCUGUAGAUAAACUUCUUCAAUUUGCAGACUAAAUACUCUCUCUCACUUUCUUAAAAAUCCUCGGACUGUCUUAUAUACACUUUCUCACUGAGAUUAUCAUUCAGAAAAGUAGUUUUAAUGUCCAUCUAAUGAACUCCAAGUCAUAAUAGGCCACCAAAAUCAUGAUGAUUCUGAAAAAAUCUUUUGAGGAUACUAGAAAGAAAGUUUCAGUGUAGUCAAUUUCUUCUUUCUGAAUAAUUAAAGCAUUUAGUAACCAAUCUGACCUUGAAACGCUCAAUUCUUUCUUCAGAAUUUUUCUUAGUCUUGUACACCUACUUGCAUCCAAUAAGUUUACAAUUCUCAGGAGGCUCAACAAGCUUCCAUACUUCAUUGUUGGUCAUAGACUGCAUUUUCUCUUUUAUAGUAUCUUUCCAUAAAUCAGAUUGAGGACAGCUCACAGCAUCAUGAUAUGUUACUGGAUCAACUACAUGUCUAAUGUUAUAGUCACUUUUCUCAAGAUAGACAAAAAAAUCAUCAGAAAUAGCAGGUCUUCUCUAUCUGACAGAUCUUCUUAAUGGCACCUCCUCAAUAAGUUGAACUGGUUGAAGAUUUUCAACAAGAAUAGGAGGAUCACGGGUCGGAACAUCCAUUCUAUCAAUAGGUAUAGGAACAAUAUUUUCAUAUGAUACAGAUACAGAAAUGGAGAUAGUCUCAAGCUGACUGCUAUUAAUAACAACAGUCUGAAAAGAUUCAACAUCAGCCACAUCAAGUUCCAAAAAUUUUAUAGUCUAUGACUCUACAAUUCUAUUACCUCUCCCAAGACUAUAGAACCUGUAUCCUUUUAGCAUGUUUUGGAUGCCCAAUAAAAUAACAAUGACUAGUUCUGAGAUAUGUCUUUUUUCUAUAAGAAUACAGGACAACCCCAAACCCAAAAAUGAUUUAAGCUAGAUUUUCUAUCAAUCCAAACUUCGAGAGGUGUUUUAGGCACAAAUGUACUAAACACUUUAUUAAGGAUGUACAAGACAGUUUUAAGAGUCUCGCUCUACAGAUAUUCUUGCAAAUUAUACCUACUCAUCAUGCUCUUCAUCAUAUCUUUAUGGGUGCGAUUACGCCUCUCGACCACAUCAUUCUGCUUAGGGCUACCAAGCAUAGUAUACUGAAUAACAAUUCUACAAUCUUGUAAGUACUUGACAAACGAACCCAUGCACUAUCCUGUUACAUCAUGUUUGCCAUAAUACUCACCCCUACAGUUGGAUCUCACAAUCUUGAUGAUAUUUUUUAAUUAUUUUUCAACUUCAAUUUUAAAAAUUUUAAAUUUUUUAAGAAUAUCUAAUUUUUUUAAUGAAAUAAAGAUAGCCAUAUCGAAAAAAAUCAUCAAUAAAUAUGAUGAAGUAUUUAAUUAUUACCGUAGAUCAUAAAGAAAUAAGAUCUACUAAUAUUAGUGUGAAUUAUUUCUAACAGGUCUGUACUACGAAUUGCCCAUUUCUUUUUAGUCUUAGUCAGUUUAUCCCUAAUACAAUUAAUGCAAAUUUUCAUGUCUCCAAAAUCUAAAGCAGAUAGAAUGUCAUCCUUUAUCAAUCUAUCAAUUCUUUCUUUAGAUAUAUGUCCUAAGUGCUUAUGCUACAAUAUAGAAAAUCUAUCUUUAAUCUUAGAACACCUUACAACUACAUUCUCAACAUUUGAAGAAGCAUAGAGAUUAUCACAAGCUUAACAUAAUUUAUAUAAUCCAUCAUUCAAAAUAUCAUAGCCAAUAGUCUGAGAGUUAAAUAUCAAAUUAACUUUUCCAUCAUAAAAAUUAAAAUCAAAUCCAAGUCUAUCUAAAGAGAAAACAAAAAUUAAAUUCCUUCUAAAGGUACAUAAAAGGUGUUCUCCAAAGAAAUCUUAAAAUCAGACUUUAAAAAUAACUUAACAACUCCUAUAUAUUCAAUUUCAACCUCAAGAUCAUUUCUUACUUUCAGUCUGACCUCCUUCAGAUUUGGUUUCUGCUUGCUUAUGAACCACUAUAAAGAAAUUGUAACAUAAGUUGUGGCACCACUAUCUAUCCAAGAGGGACAUUGACUACAUUUGAUUCAUAACAAACAAAAGCUAGGGACUUACCUUUUUAUUUUUCUUUCUUUUCUAUCUAAGACUUGAACUAUAGCACUGACUCCUUAUAUGACCUUUCUUCUUACAGUGAAAAUACUUGACAUUUUUUUUCAAUGGUAGCUUUGGGGCCUCCUACAAAAUGAUUUUGAUCAGAAUUAUUAUCAUGUCCUUCUGCACCCUGAGACUGUUUGGAAGCAACAGGUUUAUGCCUUUUUUGAUUUAUAGAACUCUUGCUAGAAUAAGGUUUGGAUUGGAUAAAAAAAAGAGCACUCUCACUCUUUUCUUUCUUAAGUUUUUCUUUCUCAGUAACACAUUUGGUGAUCAAGUCAUUAACACUUCAAGUUUCAUCAGAGUAUUAUAAGCAAUUUUGAUCUGAAAAAACUCAGUAGAUAAUGAAUUCAAAGCGUAAGGCAUAAGAAAAAAAGCAGACGGAUCAAUUUUGAGACCCUUAAGCUUGGUUUGGAGAUUAAUCAUUUUCAUAAUAUAUUUUUUGAUACCCCCAACAUUAUCAUAACUCAUAGUCGUCAAUUCUCUCAUUAGGCAUUCAGACUCAGUAUUUUCAGACAUAAAGUAUCUCUGUCCUAUAGCAUCAAACAACUCUUUAGCAUUACUGAUCUUUGGUAGACCACUUAGAAGAUACUUAGAACAGACCUCUUAAAAGCUAUCAAGUAAGUCUGUUAGACUUUUUUCAUUUGGCAAAAUAAUUCUUUUGUUCAGGUGUACUUUGAUCAUUGAGAUCAUUAGGUUUAUUCUCACAUAACGCCAGAUUAAUAUCAACAAUUCCAAGAGCAAAUUUCAUAUCUUGCUUCUACCUCUUAUAAUUUGAUCCAGUCAAGAUUUUAACGACAAUAUUAUUAUUAUUCACACCGAAUGAGACUGUACAAUCAAAUAGAAGGAAUACAAAAUAUUAGUCAAUGGGCACAUCAUAAACAACAUAAAGUAUAAACAAGAGCCCAAACACAAUAUCAUAAAUUCCUCUUUGGGCAGAACAUGCAAUAUGCAUAAGUGCUCCUUACAUAAAGCCACAAAAAUAAAUAUCCUAGAAUUCAGAAGUCUAUCGCUUUUGGACAGACAAACUCUGAAAACUAGAGUAUCCUCAUGACACAAUGCUCCAUGCGAUUUUCAAUUAAAACACACAAUAAGCCCUUUGGACAGGCGAUUAUAUGCCAUAACUUAAAAAUAUCCCUCUCAUGAUGAAAAAUCCCAUGAAUUGAUAUAAAUAAACCGCUUUGGUGAUAAAUAUUUAUGCCAACCUAUAAAAUUAUCUAUACAGAGAAAUAAAUAUCCAAACAAAUGUAAUUUGGCAUACUUUAACCACAUAUUUGCACAUAAAUGAUCAAGUCCAGAAUGAGAUACUUAACAACAAGUACCCUACUGAUCAUAUUACAAUAUAAAAUUACAUUUCAAAGCCAUAGUAAUAGAUUUAUAUCGCUCAAAUAAAUAAUUUAAGUUUUAACCUAUUUAACCUCCUAAAAAAAAAUUGAAAGUAUAUAAAAUACACAUGCAACCAGAAAAAGUAUAUACUACCAAUGGGUCUGUCACAUGCCACAAUAAUUUUUCAAAUUAUUAUGCCUCAAAAAAUAUUUCAAAAAAUAACAUAUUACAUCACAUAAUUAAAGAAAUAUCAAAAAUUAAUUUUUGAGGACUAUCAUCAAAAAUUAAUCAUUUUCAAGGAUUAAACUAAAGUUUUGAAGUACUAUUUUGAAAUUAAAAGCUUCAACAGGGGCUAAACAGUAAUAUAGGAAACUUUAUAAAAUAAAUUCCACAAUCAGGACUAAACUUUAAUUUUGUUGGGAUUGAAAUCAAAUUUUGUAUUCUACAGGGACUAAAAUGCAAAAGAUGCCAUAAAACAAAAUCAAGCAAAUUGGUUUCGGAUUUUGAGUUGAAACCCGAAACCCGUUAAGGAUCCCUUCUUCCUCAUGAUAGGCAGUGGAAAGAGGGAGGGUCCAUAACCAGCGCCUCCACAAAAUCUGAUCGACAGUGGCUGAAAAUCAGUCGAUCGGCUGCCGCCACCAACUUCUUGAUGCCAGCCGUCGGUAGCCGCCUGCAAUCAAGGGGAAACUACCGAUCUAUUGAGAUCUGACGAUCUCCACUAUAUUUUAUUUAUUUAUUUAUUUUUGUUGGGAUGAUCGAGCGAUCGAUGAGCUACAUCCGCCGCCACCGCCGUCGAUCCUAUUCACGAUGCUUCCUAGCUGAACGACCGCCUACGAUGGCAGCAAAGGAGGACAAGAAGGGCAUGGUGGUGGGAACUCUGCCGACCCUUCCUUUUUCUUUUUUUUUGUUUUGAUGAUCGGAGAAAAGGAGAAAAUCGGGCUCAGCGGGGAUCAAAUGCGGUUGGUCACCAUCGGUGGCAUCGUGCCGGACAACCGCACGUGGGAAGAGUAGGCGGUCGAUCGUUCUAAAGGAAAGGGAGCACGAUGGGGAAAAAUCAGCUCUCUUUUUCCUUCCCCUUUUUUUUGAUUCUAAUCUCCUACAAAAAUAUUAUGCUCUGAUAUCAAUUGUAGAGAUUUUUCCAAGAUGAUAUGCAGAAGAUUAGAAUACCAAAUCAUAGAUGCAUAUUUGUAUUUGCCAUUGAUUUCCAAAACCCGAUCAAUCAUGAAUGCUCACACAAAUAUCGAAGGUCAAAUCCUUCUCCCCAGCUUCUUCUCAAUAGGCGGCUGAUUGAUGGGAUAAAUCUGAGAACUAGUCUCGUGGUAUUUAUAGGAAGUGGAGAGGGGACCUAGCCAAAUCUGAAAUAAACUCUAACAGGCUCUCUCAUCACAGGCUUAAGUUAAGUUUAGGCCUACACUAUGCCACCCCAACCGCACUAUCCAAUAUAAGGCCCAUAUAGCCCAAAACACAUGGAUCACCAACUAUAUUGGGCUUAUAUGCAUGUCCAUCAAUCUGGAACAUAUAAUCAGUCUAUUUUUAAUAAAAUAAAAUAGAUAAUUAAUGGAUGGUAGGAUCUUGUCAGAAUGUUUCGAAAAUUUUAAAGAUCUGCUUGAUACUUUUUAAAGUACAGGGGAUAUAAGUGCAACUGGCCUAAACUUGAGGGGGUGUUUGUGUAAUUUAUCCAAAAACUUAAUAUUAGUGGGCUCAACCGUAAUAACAGAAAGGAAAGAGACUUUUCUAUAAAACUACAGAGAUCUUUCUGUAAUAAACUAUUUGUUAGGGGUUUAUCUGCAAAAUAAUUUUAAAUAAAGCUCUGACUAACGAGUUCGAGUCUGAUCGAAAACCUUAAUGGAUCAAACCCAAAACUCGUUUGCCUUAAUGGGUUGGAUCUAAAUUGGAUGGGUUUGGCUUUUAUUGGGUUCGGUCAGGAUCCAUUAAGAUCUGUGACCCAAUACCCAAAAAUCCUUCCUUCUUCCCUUUCUCCCGAUCAAACUCAAAUUGGAAACCUCCAUGACCGACGACUCGCAACUCUCCCAUGCAUCGGAUGGGCAGCUGAACGGCCGCCCCUUGCUAUCCUGGCCAUCGGAGAAAGAGGAAGGGAGGGAGACGAACCGCGUACCACUCCCAAGCCUCUCCCUUCAUCGCGGCACACACCAUAAUUUCUUGCAACUGCAAAGAGACGUGCAGGCAAUGGCGGUUCGCUGUCGAGAAGCAAGAGCUCUCCCUCUGCCCACGACCCAUCGUUGUCACCAGCAUGGUAGCGGCCGUGGCAGCUGCCCCAUUCGCCAGACGGCAUGGGCCUAUGCGGCUGGCCCCAAAUAAUUUUUUUAUUUCAAAAAAAUAAUAAAAUCAUAGCUUAAUUUUUUAGAUUUUUAUUUAAUUCAAAAAAUUUAAAGAUAUGAUUUUAAUAUUCUGAAAAUAAAUCAAAAUUCAUCAAAAAAAAUUUACAUGAAUACGAAGCAUAAAACUGUGGCUCUAAUGCCACAUAUUAGAUAAUUUUAUACUUUUAUAUUUGAAUCGUGCUUUAAUAUUUAUGUAAAAAUUAAAAUCAUUAAUAAAUUUUAUCUUGCACCAUCAUCCUGUCAAUACAAUGAUCACGUAGUCCGCAGAGCAUCUGAUCUUUUUUUCGUGGGAUACUGAUCUUCUCUCUCCUCAUCCUUCUCCUUAAUACGAACGAUCGAUAGAAAUCAUCACACCCUUUCAAAAAUUAAAGAAUAGAGAUUAGAUCAUUUUUAUUUAUACUUGUACUUAUCUUGUAUCAUCAAAAAAAUUUAAUCAUAAUAUAAAUUAAAUUUUUAGUUUAAAAAUAAAUUUUUUAAUUAAUUAAAUUCAUUGUGAUUGGUUCCAGAUACGUGGCUAAUCUAAAAAAUUAAAUUUAAUUAAAUAAUAAUUAAAUCGUGAGUCAAAUCCAACAUAUAAUGCCUGAGAAAGGUUAUGUGAUGAUACGGUGGAGCUUUCGGGAUCCGUGGAUCGGAGGCUCCUUCUUCUAGCCAGGAAGGGGGUUCAUAUGAAAGGAGGGAAAUGGAAGAGGGAGAGGAGCUGCUAUGGCUGAGAGAGCUCCGGCCGAUGCCGCUCUAGCCGCUGAGGAUUGAGAGAGAUGCAAUAGGGGAAGCAGUGGAAGAGGAUGAACAAGCAGUAGAGGUGACAGGGCUAGAGAUCGAUGUGGAGAUGGGAGAGAGUAGAGCAGAGGAACUUCCGAUCAUAAGAGUCUCUGAAGGAGAAUAAUCGGGCACCAAUUUUUCGAGUGGAAAAAGUUCCCUUCGCUUCUGAAAAAAACAUCGAAGAGUUCACAAUAGAGGGCACUAUGUUGCAUCGGUGAGUAAGUUUCCAGUUAGCCCACAGAUGAGCGUGUGGCCAUGCUUUGAUGCUUUAGAAAGCAUCACGAUAUUUAGGCAUGCUAAAAGAAUUUCUUGAUAUUUCUGAGAAGCGUUGGCAAGGUCUUUUUCUGUAGUGGUAAUAGAACCUGGGAAAUGGAGUAGAUGAAUGGCGACUAGAAUCUAAUUGAGUGAAUCCAUUUUCUUUUAAGCUAUCUGGCUAAGCGGGUUGAAGGUUUUGAAAGACCAGCAUAGCUUGCCUUCUCUAUUCUUCAUCUCCCAGGACAAAUCGCUUUGCUCGAGGGAGGGUAUACGGCAAUAUUUCUCCAAAAAGGUUUAUCUUCGUUUUGUUUUAUAACGAGCAAAGAGCUUGAUUUUUGGAUGAUGAUUCCGUGAUAUAAGUUUCUCCUAACGACUGACUUCUCUUUUUAGAUAGUGCCAACCACAUUGGGCAAGCAGUGAUUGAUUCAUUGUCAACUAAUCAUUAACACCCAGUCCUCCUGCCUUUUUUUCCCUUUUUUUUUUUUCUUUCUUUUUUUCUUGUUUUGGGUAAGAAGCCCUUCCUCUUUAUUGAGGCUGUUACAGUGGUACCAUGGAUAUUUCGGAUUUGUUGGGCUACCAUUGAUGCUUUAGAUCAUUGAGCUAUCUUCGUAGUUACCGGCCCAAAUAUCGAGCUGAGGUAUAUAGAGCAGAUCCAUUUUUAUCCACUCAGUUGUGUGGUGUAUCUAGCACGUGAGCUCCCUCCGUUGCCUUAGCCAACCAGUUCCCUAACGCAUGCGGCAGCUGUCCACUUUGUGGAUAAGCUUGAAUGUAACCAACUCUCCAUGAUCUUGCGAAGCAGAUAAGUUUGCAAGAACAGAUAAGGACUAUAAUAUUUCAUCCAUAACAGCACAUAACAACAUGUCCAACCAUCCGAUAAUUCUGAAACUGUACGUUUCCACGGUUAUCUAACUACAUUCUCUAUAAAUAACUAAAGCUCCAAGGAUCCAAGUAAGCAAUUCCUCUUAGAGAACUCGUUGCGGCUCCAUUGUUCUCUAAUUUCUGAUUUGAGCAUCGGAGUAUCCUCGUCGGAGCGAAAAUCUCCAGUUUGGAUUUGUUUUGCAGAUCACUCCAGCACUAUCGUGCAAGGUCCGGCCAUCCAUCUUCUGACCUUAACAAAAAACGAGCAGCAACAGAUAGAGGAAGGACGUAAUCUUUACAUUAUUCUACUAAAGCAAGUUUUAUCUCGUCUGUCCAACGCCGCUGUCUCUCGUCAGAUGGGGAGCCAGACUGACAACCAGGCACAGCCACCGACAAUGGAGACUCAUCCACCAACCCAGCCAGCACAAAUUACGACGGAUCAGUUCAACCUGCUCUUCCAACAGAUCCAGAAUCUGAUGAUCGCUAUUCAGACGGUCCAGACUAUCCUUGCACUUCUACCGAUGGCACCACAGUCUACUCAGACUGCUCCUGCACUCCUUCCAGCGGUACAACCAGUCUUCUCAGCAGUGCCACCUGCACCUCCUGCUGUGGCGCCUCUAUCAAAUCUGGCUUUCCAGCCGCCACCACAACCAAAGCAAUUGUGGAUGCUUCCUCAGAGCCCAAAGAGGAGGCAAACCCACUAAACCCACCUCAGAAUCCGAGAACCAGCAAGGCAGCAAUCUUUCAGUCCACGAUUGAGCAUGAUUCAAUCCCUAAUUGUCGUUCUCCUCAGCACUCCGAGGCCUGCACUAUCUGGGAUCUAGCUAUAGAAAGGUGGUUCCAGACGCUCGAUAGGAAGAUUGAUAAUACUCUCAAUAAUAAUUCCUCAAUGCAGCCCUACGAAGGGUUUAAUAGUAAGCCAUCCUUCACACCGGGGAUAAUGCAGGAGUCACUCCCUUGGCACUUCAAGGUGCCCCAAUUUGAGAUCUACGACGGGACCGUCGACCCCAUCGAUCAUUUGGAGAUCUUCAAGAUGGCGAUGCUCUUUCAGAGAGCGAUAGAUAUCGUUCUCUGUCGAGCCUUCCCCAUAACUCUCAAGGAGACCGCUCGACAGUGAUAUUCGAGUUUGAAGUCGGCCUCCAUUCACUCUUUCGAAGAGCUGUGCCAGAUCUUCGUCAAUCACUUGUUAGUAGUUGAUGACAGCAGAAGCGGUCUAACUACCUCUACACCAUCAAGCAAAGGAAGGGUGAGUCGAUCCAUACCUUCGUCAACCAUUUUAAUACGGCGACCUUAGAGGUCCGCGAUCUUGACCAAUCAACCGCGAUGGUCGAAUGAUGGGUGGCUUACUGAAGAAUGACCUUAAAAAGUCAUUAAUAAAGACUUAUCUCUGAGACUUUCCAGAUAUGCUUGUCUAUGCGGAGAAGUAUGUCUAUAUGGAGGAGAUUUUCACAGAAGACACCCUUGCCGCAUGGAUAAGUACGUCCGCAUAGAGGAGAUUUUCACAGAAGACACCCUUGCUAGUUCUGUUGCGGCAGGUCAAAGCAAGGAGCGCUCUCCAAGGUGGGAGGAGAGAACCUGCCAGUGCUCUUGGUCUCCAUUCCACAGGUGAAAAAAUAGGGUGCCAAAAUCGUCGAUCUCAGAAUCCUCAGAGAAGGGAUCGACAACCCUCACCUCCAAGAUGUUAUACUAAUUACAUGCCUUUAAAUUUUUUUAGGAGGAGAUACUGAUGGAGGUUCGAGCUGAGCUGCCUCAACCUUCGAGGAUGCGGACAAAGCCAGAACGCCACCGCGAUCCAAAUAAAUACUGCUUUUACCAUCGCGACCACUGUCAUGAUAUUGAAGAUUGCAUCCAACUCCGAGACGAGAUUGAGAGGCUCGUCAGGAAGGAAAGGUUGAACCACUUGGUUCGAAGGGAAGCACCUCAGCAUUGACCUCCAAGAGCUCAGCAGCCAUCUCUUUUGCCUGAGCAACCGUUUUCCUUGCCUCAGCCGCAACCAGCACUGGUGCAGCAAGAGAGACAGGAAGCAGGGGGACAGGCGACAGUAGAAGACUGACCCGUUCAUGGAAAAAUCCACAUGAUAAUUGGAGGGGUCAUCUAGGUCAGAAGAGCUUCUGGAGACGAAGAGGCUGAGGCUCGAGGAUGGGCUCAAGGAUGCUAUUGUCUUCACUAAACGGGAUGUAGAGGGUGUGCUAGCCUCGCACAAUGAUACGGUGGUUGUAACAGCAAAUAUUGCUGAUUUUAAUGUACACUGCAUAUUUUAUUGAUAAUAGAAGCUCGGAUGACAUUUUGUAUUACUCUAUCUUCUCCCAAAUGGGAUUUGCCCCAAAUCAAUUAAGUAGAUUCGAUACCUCAAUUUAGGAUAUCUCUGGAGGCUCAAUGAUUCUAGAGGGAGUGAUUAAGCUGCCUGUCACAGUGGGUACUCUAUCACAACGAACGAUGAUCCAAAUUAAUUUUUUGAUAAUUAAAUUCACUUCAGCCUAUAAUACAAUCCUUGACCAUCCGAGCUUGUAGACUUUAAAGACCGUAGUGUCGAGCUACCGUUUGAUAGUAAAAUUUUCGAUCAAGAAGAGAGUGGGGCAAAUCAGAAGCAACCAGGCCAUGGCUCAACAAUGUUUUGCCACUAAACUCAAAGUAGAAGGACAGCCAUCUCGAGCAGAGGCCCAACCCAAACUUCUAAUAGGGUUGGAUGCCCGAGAUGACCUGAUCAAGGAAAGUGCCUAGCCAUCUAAAGACCUCCUGGAGAUCCUACUGAGAAAAAAAUCCCAAGCAGACAGUAAAGAUCGGCUCACACUUAGACGAGAUAACAAAAGAUCGACUAACUACUCUUUUGCAGGAGAAUGCGGAUCUUUUUGCCUGAUCGACUGCAGACAUGCUUGGCAUAGAUCCAAAGGUGAUUUUUCAUCGCCUAAAGAUGGAUCCAACUUGCCGCUUGGUGAAGUAGAAAAAGUGAAACUUUACCCCAAAGUGCCAGAAGGUUAUAACCGAGGAGAUGGACAAGUUGGUCAAAGCUGGCUUCAUCAGAGAAGUAAUAUACCCAGACUAGUUGACAAAUAUCGUCUUGGUCAAGAAGACGAACAGGAAGUGGUGUAUGUACAUCGACUUCAUCGAUCAAAACAAGGUCUAUCUCAAGGACAGCUAUCCACUGUCUCAGAUCGACCAGCUGGUGGAUGUAAUUUUUGGGCAUGAGCUCUUCAGUUUCAUAAAUGCCUUCUUCGAUUAUAAUCAGAUCCAAAUGUUGCCUGAAGAUGAGGAGAAAACGGCCUUUGUAACUGAUCGUGGACUCUUUUGUUACAAGGUGAUGCCCUUUGACUUAAAAAAUAUAGGAGAUAUCUAUCAGCGGCUGAUGGAUAAGAUCUUUAAAGAUCAGCUCAGCUGUAAUAUAGAGGCAUAUGUAGAUGACAUGUUGGUCAAGAGCCGAGCUGUUUCAGACCAUAUUGUUAAUCUUCAUGAGACUUUCAACAUCCUUUGUCGAUUCCAGAUGAGGUUGAAUCUAGCGAAAUGUGCCUUUGGAGUUACCAUCGGUAAAUUUCUUAAAUUUAUGAUCUCGUGAAGAGACAUCAAGGCAAAUCUUAAGAAGAUCAUAGCAAUCCUUGAAAUGACUCUAUCGAGAACUGUCAGAGAGGUGCAACUUCUCACUGGUAGAAUCACUUCACUCAACCAUUUCGUCUCCAGAUUAGUCGGGAGGUGUCUCUCAUUUUUUCAAACCCUCAAGCAGCCGAAGACUUCGAAUGGACUUGAAUGCCAAAAGAUGUUUGAGGAGUUGAAACAGUACCUGAGCUCUCCACUAUUACUCACGAAGCCUCAACCUAGUGAAGAGCUACUACUAUAUCUCACCAUUUCUCCGAUGGCAAUUAGCUCAGUUCUUGUUCGUGAAGAAGGAUGGAUUCAAAAGUCCAUAUAUUACACCAACAAAGUCCUUCAUAAUACAGAGACCAAAUAUUCCAAGCUGGAGAAGCUGAUUUUUGCACUGAUCGUCACGACGAGAAAACUUCGACCUUGUUUUCAAGCUCAUACUAUAGUACUGUUAACUGAUCAGUCGAUUAAGAUCAUUUUCUACUGUUUGGAUACCUCGGGACAGAUCGCAAAGUGGGCCCUUGAACUUAUUGAGUUGGAUGUGCAGUAUUGUUCGAGACCUUCCAUCAAAGUUCAAGUACUGGUGGACUUUAUCCUGGAAUGCACUAUUUCGAAUGGACAAAGCUCACAGGAUGAGAAGGCUCGAAAGCUGGAAAAAGCUUGAGAACUAAGGAAGCAGAUGCAGGAUCUGACUCUAAGGAGCUGUGGACACUGCAUGUUAAUGGCUUAUCAAAUACAUUAGGAGCAAGGGCCGGACUCAUCUUAACCGGUCAUGAAGGAGAUGUGGUAGGAUAUGCUCUACGCUUCGAGCUUCCGACUACCAACAAUAAGGCAGAAUAUGAAGCUCUGAUUACUGGUCUCAGGAUUACGAGAUAGGCAAGAGCUCAACAUCUGAAAGUUUUUAAUGACUUCCAACUGGUUGUUGGGCAUAUCAAGGGAUGAUACGAGGCUCGAAAGAAAAAUAUGAAGAAGUAUCUUCAGAAAGUAAAAAAUUUGACCUUAUCCUUUUUGAGUUUUGACAUUCAGUAGGUCCCUAGAGCAGAAAAUGCUAGAGCAGAUGCAUUAUCAAAAUUAGCAGCCUCGUUGUCCGUCGAUUUGGAAAAAAAGAUCUAUUUUGAGGUAUUAAAGACCUCGAGCCUCGAAGAGCCUCUCAUUGUCCAGUAAGUUGAUGAAGAAUCAUGUUGGAUUAAUGCCCUGCUGAAAUACUUAAGGUCAGGUGAGUUGCCAUCUGAUCGCAAAGAUGCUCAGAAGAUAAAAAAGCAAGUUGCUCGCUAUGUCCUAUAUGACGAUAAGCUAUAUAAGCAGUCAUUCUCUCUAUCUCUACUAAAGUGCUUACAUCCAUUUGAGGCUGAUUAUGUACUGCGAGAAGUCCAUGAAAGAAUCUACAAAAGCCACUUGAGAGGCAGAUCCCUAUCUUACAAAUUUUUUUUGGCAGGGCUACUACUGACCUACAAUGCAACAAGAUGCAAGCACCUUUGUCAGGAACUACGAUAGGUGUCAAAGAAAUUUCAAUAUUCAACAUCAGCUGGUGAUACUUUUGACUCCCAUCAACACUCCAUGGCUGUUUGCUCAGUGAAAAAUCGACAUCCUUAGCUCUUUUCCUCUUGCAUCAAGUCAGCACAAAUUUCUCCUAGAAGCUAUUAACUAUUUUAUCAAAUGGGUUGAAGUCGAGCCUCUAGCCUACAUAAUCGAGGCAAGAAUAAAAGAUAUUCAUCUGAAAAUCCAUCAUCUGCCUCUAUAGUCUCUCCAAAGUACUAAUUACAGAUAACGACAGAUAAUUUAGUGGUACUUGACUCCAUAAAUUUUGCAGAGAAUAUGGAAUAAAACAUCGCUUCACCUCAGUAGGCCACCCACAUGCAAAUGGAGAGGUGGAGGUGACCAACAGGACUCUUCUAUAGGGCUUAAAGAUCAGGUUAGACCGAAUAGGGGGAUCUUGGAUAGAUGAGCUUCAUCAUGUGCUGUGGGCUUACCGGACUACUUAGAGGAUCCCAACUGGCGAGACUCCCAUCAGCCUAGCAUUUGGGAUUGAAGCAGUGAUUCCUGUGGGAUUUGGACUCCCUUCUCUUAGAGUCAAGGAGUACAAUGAAGACAUCAAUUCGGUGUGGCUUCGAGCCAACCUCGACUUAAUCGAAGAAAACAAACAGCAUGCUGCCAUGAGAAUGGCUAUUUAUCACUAGAGGGUGGGUAGAUACUACAAUGCCCGAGUCAAAGCCAAGGAGUUUCAAGCUGGCGACUUGGUACUGCGACGAUCUGAAGUUUUCACAGCCCACUGAGUAGGAAGUACUAUCACCUAACUGAGAAGGUCCUUACCAAGUGAAUGAGAUGGUACACCCUAGGACCUUUUGGCUAAAGCAACUCGAUGGGACUCCAUUUUUUAGGUUAUAAAAUUCGGCCAACCUGCGUAUGUAUUAUCAGUGAUGUUGUAACAUCAUGUUGUUAUAUAUAUAUAUAUAUAUAUAUGGUUUUUAUAUUCAUAAACUCUUGCUUGCACAUAGAAAUGACAUGAAAAGCUAAAACUCCUGUCCGAUGAGCUUUACAAGAGCUCCUCUGAUCGAAACUAACUCUUCAAAGAUUCUUUUCACAUGAUUCUCAGACUCAAAAAUAGGAGGAUAGUGUUAUUGUAGAAUCGUGGAUACCUCGGAUUUGCUGUGCUACCAUUGANNNNNNNNNNNNNNNNNNNNNNNNNNNNNNNNNUUUUCUUUUCUUCCCGCGGGUUUCUUUUGGGCCGAAACAGGGGACGCGUUCCCCCCUUCUUUUCCGUCCAAAUCCCCCACAGGAUCUUGACGAAACGACGGGAGGAGAGAUCUAGCUGAGGCAGUGCAACCGUGACACUCGGUCCGGGUGCUCGCCGGCGGCGAACGGCGUCGGAAAACACAUACACACGGACGGCCAAAACAGCGGUUUCAAAAUCUUGAAGUUUUUCUCAAAAAAAAAACAGCAAUAAAUCGGUAGAAAUCCUGAUUUAUAAUCAAAAGAAAUUGAAGAAAUGAGUCUUUGAUUCAUUACCUUGCUCUUUGUGGUAUUUUUGGGCCACUAAAUCGCCGACCAAAACCUUCAAUCCGAGAACAAGGAAAAUCGAGAGAAAGAGAGAUUUUAGGGUGAUUCACGAAGAAGAAGGCGAGGGCCUUGGGUUUUAUAGGGGAAGAAUCUAUUUUUUACUCGGAUUCCCCUCUCCCUUUCACGGUGGGAAGAAGACUCUCAACGGGAGUCUUCUUCCUCCCGAUAUCCUCUGUUUUCUCUUCUUUUUUUUUUAUGUGGGCUGUGGCUGAUUCUGGGCCGGGGUGUUACAUACGUACCACUCUUUGGCCGUGGCCAAGGAGUGUGUGAUGGAGAAUGAAAUGGAGACAUAUAGAAAAUUACAAUCCAAAGAUGAUAAAUAUGCAAGUUGUUGAGUUCCAAGUCCUGAGAAUCAGGGUUCCAUCCAACCAACGAAGACGAUGGACUCCCGACUGAUCUACUUCAUUAAUGCAGUAUGGAUCUUUCUUCUGCUCGGUUUGAUCCGAAAGGGGUAUGAUCGAUCUACCCCCCAGAGAUGGUAUGGAUGACCUUUGCUAUUGGCCGAUCUCUACGGGGGUCUUCCUAUCGUGGAGGAUCACCUCAUGGGUUCUUUGAGAUUUGUCGUUCGUCAACAUAGCACCGAAGAUAUCCACGUCAGAUGAGUGCUUCUAUCUCCUCUCUAAGCUACCAGCAUUCUUCCGUGUCGUACUCAUGGUCUCGAUGGUAUCUGUAAUAUUUUCUUGAAUCCCUUGCUCAUGCUGGAGUGAGCAUCCUCUUUGACCGAGGGAGCUCUUCUUGCUGCUCUAUCUCCAUUAGUAUCUGAGCUUGAAAAGUGUUGAGCAGAGUGAAGUAAUGAAACCUCUGUGGAGAAGUUCUAAAUUGGUGAGAUGCUGUAAGGGAUCUAAGUUGGUUGCCCCGAGGUGGGAUCCGAGAAUGAUGAGGUCUUGGUUCUACAUGUCGAUGCUGUAUUUGUCGAUAGUCCUUCUCCUUUCCGACAUUCGAUUGUGAUCUACCACCGAGGUUCUCCCCUUGUCAAUCCCAUGCUUCCUCGAUCUGAGCAUAAUUCUCUGCCCACUCCAACAUUUCGAUGAAGUCCUUUGGAUAGUUCAGGUUGAGGAAAAAGAAGAGGUCAUUUUGAAGGAGCCCAAUCUCUAACGCGGUCAUUGCCACGGACUGAUCCAAAUUUCGAACUUUCAGGGUUGCAGUAUUGAAUCGAUUAAUGUAGUCUCAGAGAGGUUCAUUCUUCCUCUACUUGAUACUCCGAGGAAGUCCAAGUUAUGGUACUGUCGAUGGCUGCUGAUGAAGUGUGCGAUGAACAGUUGACUCAACUGAUGGAAGGAGUCUAUGGAGUUCAACUAUAGAUUAGAAUACCAAUGACAAGCUACCUUCCUCAAAGUCAAAGAGAAAGCUCGACAGAGAGUUGCAUCAUUAGCCCCUAGCAAGAGCAUCAGAGAUUGAAAAUUCUUCAGAUGAUCUACAGGGUCAGCAGUUCCAUCGUAGGGCUCCAUCUAGGGUAUCUUGAAUCGAGGUGGCAGGGGUUCAUCCAUAAUCUUCUAUGUAAAUGGCAGGUCGACAUUGAAUCCCAAGUCAUCAUCUAGCUGCCUCGGUGCUUGUUGCAUGUCGAUCCAUUGUUACAUCUCUUGGAGCCUCUUUUCCAAGUCGUCCAUCCGAGUUGGGUGGUGCUGAGGAGAGAUAUGAUUCAGAGUAGAAUCCGUUCUCAAGAUCGGGGUAGGUGACUGCCUAGGUCUGUAGCGGGGUGGACUUUUAGGUUGGCUAUGGCGACUGGCUCCCACCCUCGGGCUAUGGGGAGGUUGGUCUACGGAUCUCUCCCUGACUGUCUCUUGAUUUUCAGGGGUAGAAUAUGGUUCGCUGUUCUGUUGCAUGCCUCUUACUGCAACCGAAAGUGCUUGCACCUACUAGAGGAGGCUAUUAUAUUGAUCUUGAGAUAUCAUCGGUGCUACUGGCGGAAGAUUCUCCUAGAUCUGUGGCGGUGGUGCAUUCAUCGAUUGGAUGUUAUUGGCCUGUCGGAAGCAUUAUGAUGCGUUUGAUGCACCCCUUCGCAUCCUCAUAAUGGCUGGUGGUGAGCUCUCUCCUUCGAAAUAGGACCUCAAAAUUAGUCAAAGAUCCUUUCUCUAAUGCCAAGUGUUGCUCCUACUUUCUUCGCCUGAGAUCGAUCAUCGAGGUUGAUGUGAUUGAGGUGAAACUGCUGCUGGAGCUUUACCCGAAUACCUGCAAAGAAGCCCUCAUUAGGGGCAUUCUCUGGUGAAGACCCUCCGAUGCUCAAGUUAGGAGAUGGAGAACAAUGAGAUGAGAGAGUAAGGUAUGGAUUGUGUACCUUGGAGGAUCUCGGAGUCUUUAUUUAUAAGGAAGGAGUUGGAGUCAUAUCCGUCUCUAAGUUUCGAUAAUUUUUGGAUUUGUCGCAUAGAUUGAUUCGGAUAAGAUAAUUUUUCUUUAUAGGAGAUUUGAUCGCAGAGAAAUUCUAAUUUUUUUAGACUUUUUCAAUUGAAGAGAAGGAGAAAUGAAUCUGUCGAUAGAGAAAUAGAUUAGCCAUGGAUGAGCUACAAUAGAUCGUCCAAAAUCGAGGUCAUUGAGACUGUAGAGUGCAUGUAGACCUUAGGCAAUCUGGAAUAGAUCAAUCGAGGAUGAUCUAAAAUAGAUCAUCCGAGGUCGAAGAGUCGAGAACCACUGCUGACGGGGUGUGUUCGACGGCCUUCAUUUCUAUCGUAUAUCUAUAUACCUAUCGGGCACCCAUCUCCCAUAGCUCGACCAGCGCAGAGGAUGUUAAAGCCAAAGCUGAGGUAUAGAUCCACAAUAGUGUCCAUAAAUCAUUCAAAAAAUUAAUAAGAUGAUGGUGUUGAGAAUUUGAGGUAUAUGUCAUUAAUGAUUAAUUCUUCAAUACUUCUGAUUAAAGGAUAAUCACGAGGAUAGUGAUUGAUUCGAUCGAUACAUAAAUCACUUCUUCUUAGGGUGGAUGAGUCUCGAGUCUACAGUAUGGGGAUACUGAAGUGAGAGUACAAGUAUUUGUUGGAAAAUAAAAAUACCGAGCAUGAUCAUUACGAGAAGUUAUUUGGAUGGCUACCCACUCAUCAAUGACUUAUUCGAUGCUACAGUAGUGAGACUAGUCCUUAGACUUAAGGUGUCUUGGCUGUUCACAGUAAGACUGCUGUAGUUUGGCUGCACAUAAACUCGAUCUCUAUCUAUAUGGGUCCCUGCACUGUAUGUUGACUAUAGUAGGUUCAAUGUAGAAAUAGAUGCGUACCAAGAUGGAAUCUAUUAUUCUUAAUAGACAAGAAAGAUGGUUUUAUAUAAUUUAUGAGACUAAGUUCAGAUCCACAAGGAAGAAACAUUAAGUGAAAAGAGAGAAAAACUUAGUUUGGCCCCAAUCUAGGUCAGGAUUGGAUCAAUUCACAAAUCAGAUCCAUAUGGUUCGAUUUGACCUAAACUCAAUUGGAUUGGAUCUAAUCAACAAGUUGGUUCACUAAAAAUUGGAGUCCCUCUAUCUUUUUCUUUCUCUCUCUCUCUUCCUCUUUCUUUCUUAUUUUUCUUUCUCCAUUUCUCUCUCUCUCUUUCUUUUUUAACCGAACCCAAGGUCUCUUGGGGUUUCCUAAGGGAUGACAGGAGGGUGGGGGUCGAUGGUAAGACAGCCAAAGAGACAGCGGUGGUGGCACAGCGAUGACUCGAGGCAGUGGUCUAACUGGUGGUGAUAGGAUAGUCGGGAGAAAAAGAAGAAAAGGGGCACUGCCCCUUAUGCCAUGGUGAUGGUAUCUAGGGUCGGAAAGGAAAGAGAGGGAGGGGGCUUCCCAGAGAUGGUGGUGGCGGUGAUGGUUGCAGGCAGUGGGAUAGAUUUUGACAGAUCUCACACCCGAAGUCUUCUCAAAACAGAGCAAGAUGGGUUUAAGAAGGAAGAAUCGGAUUCUUUUGGGAGGUGAUGAUGCUCGGAAGGCAGCAUGGUGCUGCCGGGGAUGAGGAAGAGGGAAGAGGGAAGAGGGAGGUGGAGAGGUCUAGAUGGUGGAAUCAAUCAAGAGAAGAGAGAUUUUUAAAAGAAGAGAAUUAGAAAAUGAUAAGUUCGAUUAUUCUUGGAUAAGGUCGAAUCUUGACAGCGUAGUCGAUCCAAACUCUCCUACCAGUGCAUAAUUCUUAGUAGGUCGCUCUUGCGGCCUUGUCUCCCUCCCAUGGCCGUAGAUUAACAGGGGACUUGGUUCCCCUGUUUCACUCGAAGUCCUACUCUCUUCCCUUUUUUUGAAAAACUUCAGGUGAAGUUAUCAAGGCUUGCCGACUUUAAUUUGCAUUGACUUAGAUCCAAAGGGAUCAAUUCUCACAAAUUUUGAUCACAAAUCAAAUGUACUAGAAAAUAUGGUGGUUAUGGGUAGAAAAUUUUUGAUGUCUGAAUCGAAGAUACCGGCAAACUUUGGUCCCGGCCGACCCUUGGGUCAUCUGCUAAUCUGUACACCAAUAGCCGACAUUAUCAUCAAUAGCCUCUAUGCAUCGGCCACCGAUCCAUGCUUCCACCGAUGAACCAUGCAUCAAUUGUCGAUCCCUAUCUUCAAUGUUCCAUACAUGUCAAGUCAUCGAUCCACAUUCUUUCCGACUUCUGCGUUGAUCACUAUAUUUGGAAGGGUUGAUCAAGAGAUCUCAUGUAUCUCUUCAAACCAUGUGGCUGCUGGGAGCAGCUGGUCACGGAUCGGAUAAGAUAACUACAACUGUUCAAUAUUGAAAAAUCAAAUUGAGAAUCUCGGAAAGACGCAUCCGAAAAAGUUGGAAUGGCCUCCAACUCUUUCCUUCUAUGGCUCUCAUCUCAACUUAUAAAUGGAGAUAAUCAAAAAACCUCCAAGUGACACAAUCUCUUUUUCAUACGCUCCUUUUCAUCCAUUCUACAAGUUUUUGAUUUGAACGUCAGAGGAUUCUCAUCAGAGUCAACUCCAAUCUAAAAAUUAUUUUGUAGAUCCAAUCAUCAUCAUCCUGUUAAUCGCCAUCUAGCUCCAACCAAUCUGACUCAAACUGAGAAUCUAUAGCAACAAUGGCCAUUCCGAUUCUCAUAUCAUUCCGUACCAAUUCUAAAUCUACUCCAUAUAUCUUGGAACUGACCACAAUCAACAUGGCAUAAUCGAUCAUCCAAAAUCUAUCAUGAAGUCCUCACUUGGGCCAACCAAUUGUAUAUAUCCAUGGGCCAGUUCGAACUAGCACGUCAGAUUGGAUUUUUUUGCACAUCCCUAUCUAGAAAUUCUUCUCAUUAGUCUCAAAACACACGUAUUAACUCUCGAGUCCCAACUCAAGUCCAGACUGAUAACAGAGUAAAAAAACGCUGGGACUAGCUCUCUAUCUCUCUUUUUUUGUACAGACCCGAGAAUCUUGAGCGGCAACGAUGUUCUUAAUCCCUAACAAGUCAUAGACCACUCUUUCCUCGUCCUCAUAUUCCAUUGCCUUCAUCGCCACUAACAACAGCUCCGACGCCUCCUGCAGGCUGCAACUCACCCCAAGGAGACGGACCACGAGCUUUAUCCAGUCCGUCGUCUCGUAGAGGUGUACGAGAAGCCCCUCCUUGACCUCUUCCACCUCCACAUUGCCCCCAUCGGACCUAACAUUUCGAUGAAUCCAUCUUGAUAAUCUAAUCCAACGACUCCCCUUUGAUGUUGCCAAGAGAGAAAGACGGAACACGGCACUAGCAUGGUGGUGUAGCUGUGGUACACGGUGGUGGAGAAGAGUUUUUUUUUUUUUUUUUUUUUGCACUCUCGGUCACAUGAUGGAGAGUUCUAUCACAGGACAUAUUUUUUCUCAUAUUUAUUGAAAACCAUAGCUUUUCCGUAACAAAAAAAAAAACCGUAGCUUUUGACCGGGUUUUGUGCGAAAAACCGGUUAGUAAACCGGGAUCCAUCUCUUGAUCUAAACCGUGGAUUAGUUAAUGAACAGCUAGCAACACAUUGGAGUACGUAGUGUUUCUCUAAUUUUUUACUUUCCUAAGCCGGCAUCGUGUGCAAAACAACGGUUGGUAAACUNNNNNNNNNNNNNNNNNNNNNNNNNNNNNNNNNNNNNNNNNNNNNNNNNNNNNNNNNNNNNNNNNNNNNNNNNNNNNNNNNNNNNNNNUACGUAGUAUUUCUCUAAUUUUUACUUUCCUAAGCCGGCAUCGUGUGCAAAACAACGGUUAGUAAACUGGGAUCCAUCUCUUGAUCUAAAUUGUGGAUUAGUUAAUGAACAGCUAGCAACACAUUGGAGUACGUAGUAUUUCUCUAAUUUUUUACUUUCCUAAGCCGGCAUCGUGCAGUGACGGCAGAAUUGCUUGCUAGAUGUUCUCCACUCAAACGUGGUCCAAACUUGGAGACAGCUGCCUCUACGCGGUAAACGCUCACCCAAGAAGCGAACUCCACACCCCCUCAACCCCUCCUCCUCUGUCUCUUGAUGCCGAAAUCGCGAGGGCGCGGGAGGGCGAUCUCUUUUUGCUCUCUCUCGUGUCCUGAAAAGCAGGUGGUCUCAAUUGACAGCAACUCGCAUGAAUAAAUCAACCAGCAUCCGAUGUACCCCAGACCAUGUAUACGUAUAAUAAAAAUCACCGUGUCAGCGAGUCACGUGACAUUUCCUCCCCUGUCCUCCCCUCCCCUCCAGAUCCAGAUCUAACACACUAAAACCCCCUCCACACUCCAAUACUCCAUCGCUUUCCGUCUCCACCCUGGUCUCCUCCCAUCGAUAGAGUGGUAGCGAGAUGCUGGGCCGGACGUUAAACUUGAGGGCGGAGCAGGUCGGCCGGGGCGCCCUCCGGGCCGGUGGCAACCUUUGCUUCGCCGUCUUCGUCCUGGGUGUUUUGGUGUUCACCCUCAUCGCUGCCACUUACCAGCCUGACGACCCACUCCUCCACCCAUCCUCAUCCCAUCUCACCUCCUUCCUCACCUCCACCUCCAAUGCUACCUUCAGCUCCGACGACUCCGUUCUCCGCACCGGCGAAGACUUCCUCAACGUCUCCUCCUCCUCCUCCGACUCCUCUGUCUUACAACAAGAACCCGACUCCGCCUUCAUCCACCUAUCCGACGUCCCUAAUACUACUAAUAUCGCCACCGUUACCGCCACCGACUCCACCGCCACCGCCACCGCCACUGACUCCACCACCGCCACCAGCUCCGUCGCCUCUGACUGCGACUCCACCGCCCCCAUCGACUGCUCUGACCCGGAGAUCUUCCACCUCAUGAUGCGCUUCGCCAUCGAGUCUUUCCCCGACAUCCACUUCUACCGCUUCGGCAAGCCCGUCGCCGCACCCGCCGCACCCUCCGGCGAUGGCGCCGCCGCCGUCGCAGCCUGUGACAUGGCUUGGCGGUUCCGUCCCAGGGACGCCAAGCGCGCCACCUUCUACAAGGACUACCGCCGCUUCGACCUCGGCCGCAAUCCGGCCAACUGCUCCGUCUCCGUCGCCAAGAUCGGCGAGUUCCACUCCGGCGUCAAUGCCCGCAAGAAGCGCCGCUCCAAGGGCGGCGCCUCACCCUCGGGGGACUUCGCGCCGAAGAAGGCGGAGAAAGUAGUGGUGGCUCCGGCGGAGGUGGUGCCUGUGGUGGGGGAGGCGGUGAACGACGCCCUCCCGGUGGUGGAGUCCGAGACGAAGUUCAGCAGCGGCCGGUAUCUCAUCUACUCUGGCGGCGGCGACCGGUGCAAGAGUAUGAAUCACUACCUCUGGAGCUUCCUCUGUGCUCUCGGCGAGGCCCAGUACCUAAAUCGGACCCUUGUCAUGGACCUCACCAUUUGCCUCUCCUCUCUGUACACCAGGACCGGGCAGGACGCCGAGGGGAAGGACUUCCGGUUCUACUUUGACUUCGAGCACCUCCGGGACUCGGCCUCAGUCAUCGACCAGCGCCAGUUCUGGACUGACUGGUGGAAAUGGGAGAAGAAGAAUGGGCUGACCCUCAGCUUUGUGAAUGAUUUCAAGGUCACGCCGAUGAAGCUUGCCGACGUUAAGGACACCCUUAUUAUGAGGAAGUUUGGGGAUGUCGAGCCGGACAACUACUGGUACAGGGUAUGUGAGGGCGAGACCGAGUCGGUGAUCCAGCGGCCGUGGCACCUCAUCUGGAAGUCCCGCCGGCUGAUGGAGAUUGUGUCAGCCAUUGCCUCAAAGAUGAAUUGGGACUUCGAUUCAGUUCACAUUGUGAGAGGAGAGAAAGCGAAGAACACUCAACUCUGGCCAAAUCUUGAUAGAGACACUUCUCCGGAUGCACUGCUUGCAACCCUCCGGGAUAAGAUUGAGGAUGGCAGGACCCUGUAUAUUGCGACCAAUGAGCCGGAUACCUCAUUCUUUGAUCCCUUAAAGGAUAAGUACACCACUCGCUUCCUUGAUGAUUUCAAGGACUUGUGGAAUGAGAACAGUGAAUGGUACUCAGAGACUAAAGAGUUGAACAAUGGGUCUCCAGUGGAGUUUGAUGGCUACAUGAGGGUGGAGGUUGACACCGAAGUGUUGUUAAGGGGAAAGAAGCAGCUUGAGACCUUCAAUGAUCUCACCAGGGAUUGCAAGGAUGGCGUGAAUACUUGUCCCGCUUCUUCCUGAUCUUGCGAUGGAAUUGGAUGGUAAGCUAUAAUUAGGAGAGCUUCUACCAAUAAUUGCUUCAAAUUCUAAAUUAUCACUAGCUCUUCAGCAUCCUUGGGGAAUUCAUUCUUGCUGUAUUAGAGUGUGGCAUGUGUCUCGAGUACUAGAAUCGCUAUGUAUCUGUUGCCUAGGAACUCUAGUGAGAUUGUUUAGAAUAGCAGCAUUUUUAUUACUAGUUAUUGAAUGGCCUCUCUAUUUCCUUUCUUGGUGUUGCAGCUGUUGAAGUGUUGGGCUAAUCUUCUACUUGAUUGUGAUGGAAUUUGUGCUCUAAUUAUGUUGUAACAAAUGUUUUAAGUCGGUUACUUGAUAGCAUAUUUGUAAUCCAAGAUAGAUAUUUUUGUAGUCUUCCUUCAUAUGUGGUUGUAGUGAAUAUCUUAUCCACUUUUCUGUUUCCACAAUCGAGGUCUGAAUGGAUAAGUUGCAAGAACUUCUUUUUUGGAUUUCACAACAGUUCCAGUCUUCCAGAGUUCUUUUUUUAUUCACUUGCUCUUGUACGUUGGAGGUCUUGGAGCUUCUGAAUGCUUAUCAAUAUUGUUUCGAUUGCUUUAAAGUAAGUUGUAUUUGUCGUUUUGUUUAGCUUUGACCUAUUCUUUUAUGGGUUAUAUAGAUCUUCUUAAAAGGCAAUUUUUGUUUAUCAUUUAACAUGGUUCACCAAAACUGAUUUUAUAUCCAAAUGUUCAUUUGGCCCAUUCAUUUCCUGUCAUUUUCUGGCACAGAGCUUAUUCUCUGCUCUUGGAAGCAAAAUCUAUUCCCAAUCCAUUAUCUAGUUUUUGCAACUAUAGAUAAGUGAGUUGAUAUUCUACUGCAAAUGCUGAUAUAAAUUUUUGUCCGACCAUGAUAGAAGCUGAGAACAUUAUCUAAAAGGUUACUGAUAUGUGAGGUCAGGCUGUUAUGACUAGAAAAUAUUUUGUUAGCUGUCUUUAGUUUUGUCAUUUCUUUAAAUCAAGACAAGUCAUCUAGCUUGUUGCAAGUCUUGAAUCAGUUUCCAGCCAUAGUCUUACAUGUUUGUACUAAAAUCUCUUUCAAUGCUUCUGAAAUCAACUUGACAAACUUUGUCUAUAUCUCUAUUUGGUUUUGUUCUGAUUCCAAUGCCCAAAACUCUGGUGUGUCCAAUCGUUUUAGCAGCUUAGAUGUAUUGUCAAUGAUUGCUGUGCAAAACUGCUUGUGUGAUAUUGGAGAAUUAUUUACGAACCAACACUAGAUAAUUUAUUGCAUCAUUAGUAGAACUAACUGGUUGAUGUGCCAAACAUAUGCAGUCAUGUUGAAAUUAAAACAAUAACCAUUAUCCUUUUUGCAUAUGGAAAAUUCGAAAUGUAACUUUCUUGAUAUUUAUAAAUACUUGCCCCAUAAUUAGAUAUCUCAUGGCAUUUGACAAAAUCAUAAAUGUGUAAAUGUGAAGUUUAUGAUAUCCACAAUUCUCAGUUUUUUUGAAAAUAGCAAUGUAUAAACUAUAGUAUUUUAACAGUUCUCUCAAACAGAAUUGUUUCUCAAGUUUGAAGAUUUCUUGAGAUUUAAGCAAUUCUGGAGAUUUAACCACUGAUGUGGCUAAAUGAUUGAGGAAUUAUUUACUUGUUUUCUUAUAGUUCUUGGAGGCUCACACCCAAAUUAAUCUAAAUCUUUUCUAAACUCAUAAAAUCCAUGUUUGAUAUUGUGAUAAAUAUUCUAAAAGACUCGAUCUUAGUAGAAAGAAAUUUCCAUUUAGGAUGGUGCAUCCACUUCGGAAUCUAGCCUGAAACCCAUCGCGACAUCUACUUUCUGAACAUUUCUUUAUUCAAAUUUUUCAAAGAGGCUCACUGCUCUGUACCCACAUCCAGAUCCACUCCCCACUCACAUCUGCUUAUGGUUAUUUAGGACUUGAUCGGUCAACUAUUUCUCCAUGGGCAAUUUCGUCAGUCUCUUACAAAAGAAAAAUGAAGGCCAACUCCACAUGGGAAGUCAUUAGCUUACAUCUUUUAUAUGUAUACAGAACUUGACUAAAUCAAAAUAAAGUGGAAUGCCAGAACUACGGUCUGUAUCAGGUUAGCUUUGGCUGAAACAGGUUAGUUUAGAUUGGAGCAAUUUGAAUUUGCUCAGAACUUAAAACCUUAAACUCUGGCCCUUCUGAAUGACGAGAACAACCUGCCUACUUUCUUUUUUUUUGGUGCCACACUUGUUGUUGCAAUUUUUGCAAAAUCUGUUUUAUCUAAACUUGGAAUAUUGAAGUUUUCUUUAAAAGAAAUGUGUUUGCUUUCCUUUAUGACCUUGUGGACUAAUAAAGAGCCAUUGUGCAAAGGUCCAGGCUGAUCUUUCUGGGACUUGUCCAUCCUUGGCAUUGCUUAGUGGAAUAAUGGAUGGCCUGUUUUACCUUUGAUCAUCAAGGUUCACUUCCAGUGAGGCUGUGAUAUUUCCAAAGAAGCGGUACAAAGAUCUAUUUGAUCAUUGAUGAGAUUUUUUUCUUAAUUUUCAGCCAUAUGAGGAAUGUUUCCUUAAAUGCAUUUGACCAUUUAUACUAUUGUUUUGCGAAAACAGGGUCAUUGUUAGUGGUGAUCUUGUAAGUGCCAUCUUGUAUUAAGGAGACUGAAGUUAUGAAAUUCAUAAGUGAUGCAAAUUCAAAAAGCUGUAUUCCUCUCACUCCAGAAAUGCUGUUACGGCUCUGUUAAUACCCAUUGUUUUUGAGGCCUAAAUCUGGUAUUUAUGAGUCAAAUACACAUGUAAUUGUAGCAGGCCAGCCCCUGUCUAAUUUAAAUGCAUUAAUAUACAAACAUGCAGAAUGGCAUCUCAUAAGCAUUCGGUUGAUGCAGAAUUUAGUGCAUGUAUCAUUGCUUAGUUUCUUCAAAGUGCCUUUUUUGAAAAUAUAUCCUGUUUUCAAGACUUUUCUUCUAUUGGGAAAAGAGUUUUUCAGAAGCAGAUCUCUCAUUACAGUUCUUUUGAUCAACUCAGUCCAUAUGCCUUUGCAUCUGUUCCAUAAUCCCCACCACCAUUUCUUCAAUGAAGAUGGUCUGUUUCCCUGAGAUUCAAUAUCCUAUGCCCUCAUUUCUUAUUUCUACAAACUUUGCCUGUGUAAUCAAUUUAGGGGUUAUGACUAUUUGUCUCUGCAUCCUGAACAUAUGAACUGAUUUUAUUAUUUCUUGUUAGUGCUCUGUUUUGAAACAGAAGAUGUGUACAAUGAAGGUGUAUAGGCUCCAGCUAGCCUUCGCAAUUGAAUCUCAUGCCAGUGCAGAAGCUAGUGCAGCUUUUCCCUUAAGCUGAUCCAAUGCCACACCUAAAACCCCUUUAUGGAAAAGACAUUACAAAGAACCCAAUUCGGAAGGAAAAAAAGAAUGAUUUACUGAAAUUCACAAUGAUCUGAACACCAAAAGGCAAUGCAAAAAGCAAUAGUCACUUCCUGCGUCAAACCCAGAAAUUUUUUUGUCUCAAUAGCUGCUGGUUUCACAUCCAUUAGCAGAAGGUGCAAGAAGGCCUCCAGCAUUUUUCCCAGAUCUUGCUUAGAACCUGCUCAAUUAGUCAUUAGCAACCAUAUACCAUUGUUUUAGAAUAAGAUGCUGCUCCCUAAUUUAGCUCUUGAUCCUAGCAUCUUCAUUGUCAACAGUAUGUCUUUAGAUCUGCUCUUUAGUACAAGAUGCAGUGUGGCCUCUGGCAUAAUUUUAUUUCUGUGGCAGAACCUGCCCAUCAGCAAUAAUAUGUUGACACUAAAAUGAAAGAAAAAAGAAGUUAAUGUUAUUUAUAACUCGCAAUGCAUACUUCUAAGGAAUGAGUAUGUGGUUUUUCCUUGUGCUCAAAUAUCAGUAUAUCACACAUUCCUCUUGUACAAAAAAAAAAAAAAAAAACAAAAACAAAAAAGAAAAAGAAAAAAAAUCUCUAUCCAUUAUAUUUCAGGGCAUUCCUUUUUACUUGUCUAUUCAAUUCUCCUCAACUUUAUCCACUGUAAUUUCAUACUUCUUGAUCUGCCUUUUAUGUCAAAAAUUUUGGUGAAUGGGUUUGUUGCUUUUUUGAGAAGAGUGAAUAUGGGUCUUCUUGUUCUGGUUCUUUAUGUUGAAGAACGUACUCUUGUGUGAUUUGCUACUUCCUGUGUAUUAGAUUAUCUACGGUAACGAUCUUUUGUCAUUUGUACAAUUCAUAUGAAAGUACAAUCCAAAAGCUGUUUACCAGGUGUGCAAAUAACACCACUUUUAUCCAUGAAAGACUACAAAGUUACUUUCUCCGAUGCUUUAACUUUUGCUUGGAAAAGAUUGCAGUUCUACAUACUGUUUUAGACAUAGUUGUCUGACAUCAGGUUUUUAUUCAGUUGUCUUCAAAGUUUAGGUGUCCUCAUCUUCUCUUCUUCUCUUCAUCCAUCUAUGACAACUGGUUGCAUCUUUGUACCAAGCUUUCUUAAGAAAUAUGUAAAUUGUGCAGAUAAAAUGACUUCCCUAACCACCUGUUUAUAUAAAAUCACAUGUAUUCUGGUUGCCGACUAUCUGUUGUAACAGCUAUGCAAAUUUGUAGCCUUAGACACCCUAUUCCAGAUAAAAAGAAAUUUUAUUUCAAAUUUAUCAUGAUGCAUGCACCAACAUUUGCCUAAUACUGACUGAUUAUGUUUUAGGGACAUAUUGGUGACCUUAGUCCUUAUUCUCAUUGAUUCUCUUCCGACUUACUAGACUAUAUCCUUUCCGAGAGGCAUUAAUGGCCAUCUGGGGAAGCUCCCUUCUGAUGUUACAAAUUCUUUCUACAACCCAUUUAGACAAGCAAAAGAAGGUAUAUUAUAACCACCAAUUGUAAGCAAUACUGAGUUGUGUAAAUUAAUUUCCACCUGAUAAAUUUCUUUUCAACUUUGCCCAUUAGGACUAGUCACCACUUUUCGAAUGUGACCAUCUUUAGAAAGAGGGAUGCUAGUGAAGUAGUCUUCUUCCUCAUGCUUGUUCUACUCCAAGAUAGAUGAGUGAGCUUUUGGGAUAAUUAUUUCAAGGGCCAAAAUAUUAAAGUGGAGACAAGUGGAGCUUUAUUGCACCAUAUAUCUUUUUCAUCCAAAAUCCAAAUUCAAAUGUAAUCUCUUAAUUCUGUAUUUUUUGAUUCAAAUCAAAUUCCUGCAUAUUACAACAUUAUCAAAAACUCUAGGGACGGUCAGUGCUAAAUUCUCCCCAAUUGCUUCCGUGAAAUUGCCCAUUAAGUAAACUAGCAGGUUUAUAAUUUGCAAUCCAGUUGCCUCAUUUCUCUAUUUGGAGCCAACACCAGCAUAGAAAAUCCAGCCUUCCAGUGUAAUCGUUGAGAAUACUCACAAGCUGCUGUAGCUUCUUUGUUAAUUAUCCCCCAAUAUCUCUGAAAAGAAAAACGCGAACAAACCAUUAAGGCUUAUGAAUACUCAAAACAAAAACUGUUUUUGUAUGAUGUCUGUUUUUAAGGGAUAACUGAGCAGCAUUCCAAAUUUUUCUCACAUGCUGAAUCUCCUAGUCGCUGCAGAGCAUCUGAUCUCGGUCAUAUGGGCCACUAUCUGUAACCUGCUCGAUCAUGUUAUCUGCAUGUUAAUUGUUUUAGUGAUAAGCUACAAGAGCAGCAUUUAGAUUCCAUCAUUGUCAUUUAUGUAAAAUGCCUAUUUUAGGUACUGUUUUUUUGUUUCUCUGAGUUCUAGUCAAGCUAUCACAUUGCAUCUGUCUUGUUGCUACAUGUUAGAUAGCAUUCAUUUGUUUGAUGGGUCACAAUUGCACUCAUAUAGAGCAAAGAAGCUUCGCUGGUAUGCUAGGUAUCAGCUUUAUAAAACAGCUACUUUUGUUACUUGUCAAGUGUAGAACCUUCAGUCAUCUUACAAUUUUAUUCAAGUUAAUUCAGUUAUCCCCUUCCAUUUCUAGACUUCCCAAAAAUGAAAGUUCUUCUUUUCCUUUUUCUGUUCAUUUCAUAAGAUCAUAUCUUCUUGACAUGUACUUUAUUGGUUUUCUGACUGUUAGUGUAACUCCUACUUUCUGAUCAUGUGGAGUCAUUACCUGUUCUAGAUUUGGCACAUGGGUACAUGCCUACUUCAGUACUGUGCUUUUUCAUACUUUCACAUAUUCUUUUAAUACUUCUUCAUUUAAUGCUUUGCAUUCUGCUCUAAUAUUCACGACAUGGUGCAUACAUCUUCAACAUCUGCUCAUUCUUCUCCAAAGUAGAUCCAAAAUAAUCUAUGCACUUGGUCAAUGUUUACUUAUGCUUCUUACCACUGCAUUGUAUUACCCAUACAGAACUUAAAGUUCAGAUACUGGGAAGUCACUGCUAUUCUACUGUAUGAGUUUCAUUCUCAAAUAUAUUUUUCCCUCUUUAGCCAGGAAAUAUACUUCAGAGAAUACGAGGAGGAAGGACGCAAUUAAAACAUGUGAAAGCAUUAGUUACUGAUUAAGAAUAUCUCUGGGGGAACAUCAUGUUGCUAAUGGCAACAAAACAAGGGCCUUCUUAUUUAUAAUAGUAUACAAACAAUCCAAAAUGCCAAACUCCUUUGCAAAUGGUUAAUGAGUCGUAUUAACAUCUAUAUUUAUCUACUGCCUAGUUGUGAAUGGAUUUUCUGCUUUCUUUCGUUUAAUUUUAUAUUUGAUAGGAUAUGAACUUUUUUUUUAACUUUCUGAUUUUCUGACAUUUUAUGAGAGCACCCAAGUUCACUGCAAAGUGCAGACUCUCCAGAUAUGCCAGUCAGUUUGCCCUUGGCUUAACGAGUAACUUCCAUUUCUAUGAUUGAAGUGAAGGGCAUAAUGAUUUAGAUUAUAUUGUCAUGCCUAGGCUUUUUCCACUUCCCAUAGCAUGAUGUCUAUCUGUACAUUACUUUACAAUGAGCAGUACCUUUUUCAUUAACGAAUUGGGACUAGGAUGUAGAAAGUCUGUUUUUCAAAAUAAAAAGAAGGGUUUCUAAUUUCUCACCCAUAUCUAGCUUGAUGUUGUUACUUUAUGUUUAGGAUCCUUGUCUUAACUGACAUGAAAGAUCCAUAUUUGCAUCUUGAUCAAUUUGGUUAUAACACUUAAUGGCUGACCUGAAAAGAAAGGACAUAACGUUGUUUUAAUUGCAAAGUCACAUCUUCCCCCCCUCCAAUAAUUUCAGUGGAUUCCAAAGAGCACCCUUCUGGCUAGGUUUCAUUUUCUGCUGAAAACCGUUAGUGCCUUUGAGCUUGAUUUUAGAUCAAAUGGGAGGGCAGACCUUAUGUUCAAACUGUAGGGCGGGAUUAUGCUCUUUCAACUUGGAAUUGGCACUCAGGAGGUGAUCUGGCUCCAGAUUUUCUGGAGGCUUGUGUAGCAAUGAGAAGCUUUAUCUGAGACCAGAAAUCUACAACGUUGAUGCUAUGGACAUGUUCAUGGCCAAGAUACUAGUGGCUAGAAUGGUUGAUGUCAGCUUAGGAAAUUGGUAUGUUCCUUUCUGAAAAUAGAUGGUGAUUCAUGAUGACAAAUGGCCAUCUUCAAGCAGUAAAUGCUCAACUCUGUGAUAGAUUUUCUUGAAAGUAAGGCCCACCUGCAUGUAACUCAGAAGUGUGAAUGGAAGAACCUAGUGCUUAAGCUCUGUGACAUGUUGUCCGACACUAAAAAUGAUCGUUGAGAACAUUUAGGUUUUUCUACAUAGAGAAGGAAGAGAAGAUAAAAUGGAAGUCAGAGGGGAGAAAAAUAAAAAUUGCUCUGGAUCAUCUAGCUUUUUGUUUCAAGAAUCAUAGCACAUCUACUAUAAUGAUCAGAUCUUAGUUACUUUUUUUUUCAGUAACCCAUUGUGUCUUAGAUCCACCGAAUGAAUGUUUCACUUAAUCAUGAAUACAAAUUGCUAGGAUCAAAUCCAAAGACACAAAAUUAGAGCAAGACAAACCUUGUUUACCUGAACCUGGGGCAGGUGGACAAGUGAGAUUUUGUAGAGAUUUCCAUAGAUGGUCCAGCAUCAUAGGUAGAAAAGUUUCUGGCUACAUAGAGACAAUCAUGAAUCGGUUGAUAUAUGUGUAGCUUUUGUGACAGCUCAAGGCACGCUGGAUUGAAUUAGAUACUCAGCAGCCGGUCCUAAGAAGGAUGUUAUGUGUCAAGCAGUAUUUAUGAAAUUUGAAUGGUUGAUUAAUGGAUUGUCUAUGGUGAUUGCUGCAAUUCUGCUGCACGAUGACGUGAUCAUAAGAGGAUCUGGGAAGUGUUGAUUCAAUCAGGGAAAAUUCCAAGGUGGUCAGUGGCCCAUUCAUUCAGGUUCUACCCGUGGAGGUACUGAUGUCUGUUGAAGUUUGAAAAAUUGAUCUUUUAUCAGAGGAACUUUUGACAUAAGAUGUGUGACUUAAGGUUGACGAUUGUUGGUAUUUAUUCUACAUUCUUUGUGAUUGUUAUGUGAGGGAUCCCAUGUCUGACAAUCUACAAGAAUGACUCAAAUGUCUGACAAUUAUAGAGAUAUUCUAAUGGUCUGAUCACCAGAAAGCACCGUAUCAUUUUCCAUGCCACUAGAUUGGGAAUGUGGAGAUGAAUAUACUUGACAUGACUGGAAAACUAGACAAGCAGGACAAAAAUGAUGAACAUACGUGCUGUGGACUGCAUUAUUCUGUUAACAACCUAUUUUUAUUUCAUCUGAAGGCAGAUAUAAACUUUGCAUUUUGUGGGUUCUUCGAUGAUCAUCUACCUAAUCAAUCAAAGUUAACGUCAAUGAGGCAUAGACUUUGUUAUUGGUUGUGAUUGUUUAAUUGUGAUAAACCAUGUAUAGGGAUUUGUAUCUCUUCGUUCAGGAUUUCCUAUUUCAAUAAUUAUAUCUACCUAUUGAUGACAUAAUGAAUUUGUGGCAGAAGUCUGAAUAAAAUUUCCCAAAAUGUUACCGAAUUCGAGGCAUAUUAGUUGAGGUCUAUAGCAACAAGAAACAAAUUUGGCCAUAAAAUAUUAUUUCCACAAUCUUAGAACUUCCCAUCUUGCUUCAUCAUCUAUUCAUCUCAUUUUUAAAUAUCUUAGUUUUCAGUAAUAAUAGUUUUUAGAUCAGCUGGCAGUUCUUAUGCAAGGAAUUUUAUAGUUUCUUGUAGUUUUGAGUAGGUGAGGGAAUCAAUGGUUGUCGACUUCCUAAGAUAACAACAUUCACUACUUCGGUUCGUGUACAGAGCUUUGUUGUGGAGUGUUCUGUUAUUCUAAUGCCUUUAUCUGAUUAAAGGAUUUGGAUUAGGAGAAACCAACGAAGCACAUAUUUAUAAACAAAAUGAUAUGAUUGGAGGUGGUUGAUCCAUAUAUACUGUUGAGAAGGACGUUCCUGGAAGAUUCACAUCAGCGCGCAUUAUACGGCAAAUUGCUUGAUAAAAUACUUGAUUUCAAUGUCCUUCACUGGGCACAGUUAAAACCCCUGGAAGGUCAUAUUGUCCUAUCAAAGGGUCACCUUCUUCCCUAAGGCUAUGGAAGAAGCAAGAGGAUUCAUAGGCCUUAUCUUUUGGCUACUUAUUACAGGUCAGUGGCCUCUGCUUCGUAUCUCAUCCCUGCUGCUAUUUGAAUCAUAUCGUACAUGUUUAGCUUUUAGCUUACAAGAGAUUUCUCUUUUAGAACCAUUACUAAAACCAAAUACAUGGUUAAUGUGAGAUAAUGCAACACUGAUGCAUGAAAUCUUUUUGCAUUUUCUGGGCCAUAUAUUGGCAGCUUGAUUACUGUAGUUAUACUUGUUGUGCCAUGUUUUUGCUCUGCAUUCCAUAGAAUAGAUGUUAGAGAUUCGUGUGAUUAUUUAAGGAGAAAAAAAGAGGACUUAAUUUCCAUGGACGUCAGAAAGAGCCAUAGGAGUUUCUUGGUGAAUUCGUUUGGUCACCGGCGGCAGGGAUGGUAAAUUAAUUUACCAGACAAACUCCAAUAUGAAGGAAAAUACUGGCACAUGGAAGAUAUUUCUCACGGGCACCAAAAUAAUCUUCUUGGAAGAACGAAAGCAUUGAAGAAAACUGUAAAUCCUCAUACGCCAAGAGCGUGUUACUUGGCAACUUAUUACGUGUUGCCAGCCAAAGAUCAUCGGGUCCAUUUUAUGUAAACAAUACACAGGGACAAAAGUGGAGCAAAAGACAUGUAACCACUAAUUAGGCUCGUAAAAACAAAAUCUAUGGUUAUGAAACUCGCUACGGGCAAAUGAAUACGAGGAGUAGGAGUAGAUUUGGGGCAAUGACGACCCACAAGGACUAACAACAUGCUGCGAUUGUUGUGUUUGCAAUUGAAAGGAGGGUCAUGGGAAAUAUUCCACAUCACUCACCAGUUUUAUUCAUAGAGAGUCCUUGUUCAUUAAUAUAAUUAAUAUUUAAGAAGCAAAAAAUAUUCCACCAGAAAUUGUGUGGACAGAUAACAGCAUUAUUUUUUAGUUAUUGACUGCCAUAUCACAUUAUAAUUGAAGGCAAACAGCAACUAUUAUAACUGUUGAUAUUUAAAUCUAAAUAAUUUAGUUUAAAAUGAUUUUACAUAAACAUUGAUUAUCGCAAUCAUUAUAACCGUCAAUAACACUUCUGAUGGGGAUGAUGAUAUUAUGAAUUAUAGAAAUUUUUUUUUUCAAAAUAUUAAACCUGGUCAGUUCGUCUUGAUCUGGAUGUCUAUUUAGUUAUUAAUCCUUACUAGUAGGUACAUAAUAUGUGUUUAUAGGAUCAUGUUUUCCAUGAUACAGAAAUCGUUGGGAUUCAUGUGAAAUCAUCAAUUUUUACCUCUGAAUAUCCUAUUUUUACACAUGAAUCUCCCUUAUCGGUUGUCCUCUUCACGUUUUCAUUUUCAAUGGCACCAUUUGCUCAUUUUGUAACAUUAAAACUCGAAUGUCACUGGCCCGAACCAGACCACCUGGAACUAUAAAAAAUAAAUAAAUAAAUAAAACACAUUCCUUUACACCCUAAUGGUAUUAUUCUUCUCUUUUGCAUCUUUACAGGGGCAUGUUCUUCCUCCUUCCAAUUCUUGAACAACUGCACCUACCCAGUGUGGGUCGGCACCCUUUCCGGCGCCGGCAGCCCUUCACUGGCCCAAACAGGAUUCGAGCUUCAGCCGGGCCAGUCCACAUCCCUUGCCGCUCCCCCCGCAUGGUCGGGCCGCUUCUGGGCCCGGACCAACUGCUCCACCAAUCCCGUCACCGGCAAAUACUCCUGCACCACCGCCGACUGCUCCACCGGAAAGGUCUCAUGUGAUGGCUCGGGCGCCACUCCCCCCGCCACCCUCAUCGAAAUCACUCUAGGCACCAAUGGCGGCAAAGACUUCUACGACAUUAGCCUCGUCGAUGGCUUCAACGUGCCGGCGUCGAUGGCUCCGAUGGGAGGAAAAGGAGAUUGCAAAGUCACGAGCUGCCCGACCGACGUGAAUGAGGUUUGUCCGGAGGAAUUGAGGGUGGCUGAGGGAGAUGGCACUGGGGUGGUGGCUUGUAAGAGCGCUUGUGAGGCGUUUGGAGAUCCAAGGUAUUGCUGUACUGGGACGUAUGGGGGUCCUAACACAUGCAAGCCCACCAACUACUCCAAGGUGUUCAAGGGUGCAUGUCCUUUGGCUUAUAGUUAUGCCUAUGAUGAUGCCACUAGCACUUUCACCUGUGCUGGUGCUAGCUAUGUCGUUACGUUUUGUCCUUGAUUAACAUUUGCCAUAUCAAGUAUGGUUGCCGAAUCUAAUUAAGAUUAUUCUCUUCGAUUGAUUGCAGCUUAAAAUAAAUAUAAUUUAAAAUUUUUUCUUCUAUUUUUAUUGAAAAAAAUAGAUUUCCAAAUAUAGAUCGAAAAAAUUAAGAUAAAUUAGAAUCAUUAAUCAUUUAUACUUUCGAAUUAGUGAAUGGUCCUUAAAUUUGUAUCUCAAAUUGGAGCAUUUGAUCAUUUGCUCCUGAUCAUUUUUAUUGAUCAUUUUUACUAGAGUUUAAUUAUUUUCUUUUCAUGUCAUAUUGUCACGGACUUAUCCGCAGGCAUGUCGCAGGGGGUGCCGGCAUGGGCAUGACGUGGUGUUGCGAAGGAUUUGGCCACUCACCCCGUGACAAUAUGGCUGAUUAUUCCUCUCUCUGACACUUGGUCUAUUGGUUGCUGUUUUUAGCCACCGAUUUAUCUUUAUUACCCUUCCAUGCACUAAAGCUUAAACUCAUACAUUACUCCAUAUCAUAUAACACUUAGAAAAACUCGCUUUCUUGAGGCUCUUACCAUUUGCUUUUAGUGUACCUCUGAAGCCAAGCAUGGCUAUCUUCAAGACCAUCAGAUGGUGGUGAUUAAAUACAUUCUUCUCUAUCUAUGCCCAUCUUCGUGGCUUUCAAAUGAUAUUGGCUGAAUAAACUCUUCUCUAUCCAUUGCGGGUUGGUGGCUCUUUCCAUUUUUUUCAACUUUUAAUUCAUUUGGAUUUUAUAAAAAUUUCCGAUCAGUGAUAAAACAAAUUAUCAUGAAAAGUUCCUUGCCUCAUUGGUAAUAAAUGGUUUUCAUUAAAAAAAAUAAAUAUAAAAAUUUAUAAAUUAAAAGUAAUUUUUAUCGUCGACGAUCAGUAAGCAAGCACGUGAUAUAUUGGAUAUGCGCUCUAUUUUUCGGGAUAGAAUGCAUAUGUGUUUUUUUAAAAAAAAAAUAAUAUGAAAGGAUCAUAGUGGGACAUGAAGGUCGUCUCAAAGAGAAAGUAUUUCUUAAUAAUGAGGGAAAAUAGGGAGAAAUAAAACUAGGGAAAAGUGGGACUUCUACCCGGUACCGUCUUCAGCUAUUUCGUGGAAACGUAUUCUUAUGCAUUUGCCAAAUAAACCUGGACAAGAUUCACAAGAAUGCAGCUGAGCACAACGAUGGGUGUACGCAUACAUGUAGGCAACCAUAAUUAUGCCAAUAGUGAUUUUUGUUAAAUUUCACUCAUCUUAGUAUUAUUAUUAUUCUUUAUUUUGUAUUGCGGAGAAAAAUAAUAGCUAUUAUAAAAAUAAUUAUGUUAUUUUGCGAAAAAACAAAAAAUAAAUGGGGAACAAUGGCAGCCGUAUGUCACUCCUAACAGUUCAUAUUUGAUCGUUGAACUUUUUUUUUUUCCGUAAAGUGGUUGUUGAACUUCCCAUAGUUUACUCAAAAAGAAGAAAAAAGGGCUUUGUGCGGUUGGUUUCGUGAGCGGGGAUUUGCCAUGAAGGAUUCGGAUUGUAUCUUCUCACCGAAGAAUGCAGUCUUCUUCUUCUUCUUCUUCUUCUUCUCUUUAAAAAUUGUGCAAAAUACGAUCUUCUUUGGCACCGCCAGGGGGGACGAAUCACUCCGCCAUGAAAGGCUGGAUCGAGCGGAAAGGGGAAUUCCGUAUCUAGCGUCUGGAUGGGUCCCACAGUCGUUUGUCAAACCGAGAAAAGAUUGCAAGCGGGGCCCACAUAAAUGCAUGGUACUGGAAGACAGUCCCUGUCAGAUGAUCCGCACCGUGCGUAGUCAAAUAUUGGUUUCUUAUCCCACGCAGGGCUUAGUCCAGUCCAUGGUCUUCAAAUGCAUACAAAAACAAUAGGGUAGAGGAUGUCAUUGGAAUUUGGUGCCUACCCAACCAUUCAAAAACUGUACAGUGGCCGGUCUGCAAAUGAUGUAACAAAAUUUUAUUGUAAGCUCCUUUUGGAUGGGAUAGGGUUUGGUUAUGUGGUCCCCUAAAUGGGGUUGAUUCCUUUCUUAGUAAUAUAUUUUAAUUUUAUUUGUUAGGACCAAGAAAAAUAGGAAAUACAUGUUGAUAUAUUCUUAUUGAUUGAUAUUUAAAAUAAAAAAUUAGAAAUAGAGGGUGAUCAUCCAAGCAGACAGCCAGAGUCAACAUGACCUAAUAUGUGAUAAUCGAUUAUAUCGCUCGGUUGGACCAGGAUUGAGGCAUCUUAUCUCAUGCAGUAAACAAAUGGUUCACAUGAGAUCCAAUGGGUUGAUGGUAGGUGUUUGAAAGGAAGAGAAGGAGACCCACCGCACAUAAUUGACAGCAAGUUACCCCUACCCGCGAGUUUGGCUUUGAUUAUGAUACCAAAAAGUCCUUGGUACAACUAACUUUUGGUAUUGAAAUAGAUAAUUAACAGCCAACUUCUGAAGGUUAAUAGAUUUUUUUAUUGUUAUUCUUUUUAUUUUCUAUGUAUGUUCUAUUUUUGUAACAAAGACAGAUUAAAUAAUACUGAAAAACUGAGAACUCUUGGUCUUCAACUGUUCUCAUCUCCGACAAUACUUUUAUUUUCCUACAUGCUCUCUAGCUAGAGGAAUACCAAUUAAACCUGAGUUUCGGUAGGAUUAGAUCGAUAUGUGGCUCAAAAAUAGGGUUGAAUAUAUUAAUUGAGUGCCAACGCCGAUCAAAACUAUUGGGUGGAUGUCUGAUUAGGACAUCACCUUUCAAGAUCUUUUCGGUACUGCGCGAUGCAGUAGGAAGAAAGAAGAAAUAAAAUAGAAAACAAUCAAAAUACGUACAUCAGCCAAAAAAAAGCUCAUCUCCAUGGAACAUACAAAUUUCACUAUGAGAAAAGAAAUUUUACAAGAGGAGAUCUCACCUUCAACCCUCGUACACCCAAUUUCUCCCUCACAGGAAGUUCUCCAUCACAAAAAGCUUUAUUUCUAGGAAGACCUCCUGAACCUUUGAAGCGACCGCUGUCCGUUAUUUAGAAGCCUCUUUGGAGCUUCUCCUCUCAGCACCGUGCCUUCUCUCUCUUCAUGGGAUUUAGUUUUUUAUGUGAAGCCAUCUGCAUCCGCAUCCACGAGACCAACAGGCCACCAUGCACCCUGCUGUUCACGUACAGGCUCUUUUAAAGGGCUUAAAACCCAAUCAGCACUCAUUUAGGAAUCCUAAUCAGGCCCAAUCAAACCCAUAAAAGCUUCCCAGCCAUUGGAUUGAGAUCAGGAUCAACCCAUACCCUCCAAUCGUACACCGGUCCACGGAAUAGUACUGUAGACCAUAGAAAACACGUGGAAAAUGUCCACACGGUCCAUGCAGUGGACUGUGCACCGCCCGAUCCACCGUGGAUCGGGCAACGGGCCUCACAGCGGGGCACUGGGCCUGGGCUGCGCCCCCGUGUGCGUGGGCUUAGGCCGGGCCCAUCCGUUGGGCCGUUCCCUACAUGCGCCCAACCCGCACACUGGGCUGCGAACCGCCACACGCGACCGCGCAGUUGCUACUUCGCCGGCCCACCGUCGGCGGUCCUCCGCCGCCUUCAAACGUGCAUAUCUCCUCCGUCCGAGCUCCAUUUUAGAUAAUCUUAGUCUUGUUGGAUUUCGUUUUUCAUCACGAACCUCACCGUGGACUCAAUAUAAAUCAAAUCUUGAGGUGUCAAAUCCUAACAAUCUCUUUUUCGACUCGAUAUUCGGUCUUCUCCUAACUCUGAGAGCUUCUGAAUCUCCUCACCCCCAUGUCUUGGGACAAUCGUCUACUGAUCAUGGAUAGGCAAACAUGAGAGUCGAGCCAGGCCGCUCGAUCCCAUCUUCAUCGUAUGCUGUGCUCCUCAGGAUGUGAGACCUACUCGGGGCAUCAUCUUGCGGCAAUAGGAAUCUCACCUUGCGACAUCACCUCUCGUCCUUCCAAGUCUCCUAUCUCAUGCCCAAUCCACCUCCACUUGGAGCUCUAUCUUGCUCUGGGCUCCACUUAGCUCUUGAAGCUCCAUCUCACACUGGACUCCCUAUCAGGUAAUAAUAUCCUCUCCUCCCCUUCUUCUCCUCCUAAACAAUCCUAUCAUCGCAUAGCACCUUCAGGAUUUCUCCACCAGCUACUAUCCUAUAGCCUCUCGAAUCCAGUCUACUCAGUAAAUAAGAUUCUGCCUGAAAUCGGAUAUGUAUCGGAUCUCUUCCAAUCUCCUCACUGCACCAUCAUGUGUCCUCUAGUUGACCGUCCCGAUGCCUUUGAUCGCAUAGCUCGAUCCAUUCGACAGAUAAAUAGCACCCUCACUAUUUUCUAGGGAGUCAAACUGCUCCUCUCUGCAACAUACAUAAUGGGUACAUACAGAAUUUAAUAUCCACUGCUGGGAAGAAGUAGAUACUUUGUCAGAUAUCUCCAGGACAUCUCCCUCUAAAUCACUAUUGGCCGUCGUCACAGCAGUCAUCGUCUGAUUUUUGAGUUGAAGGCAAUCUCUGGCUAGAUACCCCAACUCCUCACAUCGAUAAUAUUUGGUUUUACUCAAGUCCCUCCUGGACUUGGACCGCCCUCAUCGCGAUCUCCUGUCGCUCCGUCUACCACUUUUGCUCCUCUAGAAGCCACUAAAAUUGAGCUUCCAUCACCUGAGUUCGAAGUUGGGUUCUCCCUCUUGAGAACCUCGUUUUGGAGUAUCGCUGCGGUGAUCUCGUCCAUCUUGAUGGUGCUUUCCCCACUAGAAGAGCAGUCACCAAGGACCCGUACGAAGAGAAAAGUGACGCUAGCAAAAUCAACGCUGUGAUCUUCUCCACAAUAUUCUCACCAAUGCUGAGGAGGUUGGUGAGGAUCUUUUGAAAGUGACUGAGAUGCUCCUGCACGCUUUGUCUCUCAGCCAUCCGCAGCUGGUAGAAUUACCUCCAGAGAAAAAUAAUGUUGGUGAGAGAUUUCGCCAUGUACAACUCCUCGAGCUUCAACCACAACACCAUCGGAGAAAUCUAACUAAGCACAUAGAUCACCACCUCAUCUGCUAGGUAUAUACGGAUGGUACUCACCGUCUGCAUCUGUAGCCGUUUUCAAUCUCGCAUCUCCAUGAUAGUCGGUUUCUCCUCGCACAAGAGAGUAUCGAUCAACCCUUGCUGGAUGAAAACAUCCUUCACUUUUGCCUCCCACAAAGAGAAAUUGCUCUUUCCAUCAAACUUAUUGAUCUUCAUUUUGAUUGAUCAUGUCUUCUCCAUCUUCAGUCUUGCUCACCACCGUUGCAAUCUGCAUCAUUGUAUCGUCUCGCUCUGAUACCACUUGUUGGAUGGAUGUUUGGCCAGGAUACCACAUCUCAAGACUUUUUCGGUACUGUACGAUGCAGCAGGAAGAAAGAAGAAAUAAAACAGAAAACAAUCAAAAUACGUGGAUCAGCCAAAAAAGGAUUCGCCUCCACAAGGCAUGCAAACUUCACUAUGAGAAAAGAAAUUUUACAAGAGAAGAUCUUAUCCUCAACCCUCGUACAUCCAAUUUCUCCUUCACAGAAAGUUCUCCCUCACAAAAAACUCUCUCUCUAGGAAGACCUCCCUGAACUCUUGAAGUGACCGCUGUCUGCUGUCUAGAAGCCUUCUUGGAGCUUCUCCUCUCAGCGCCGCACCUUCUCUCUCUUCAUGGGAUUCAUUUUUCCACAUGAAGCCGUCUGCGUCCACGUCCACGAGACCAACGGGCCACCAUGCACCCUGCUGUUCACGUACAGGCUCUUUUAAAGGGCUUAAAACCCAAUUAGAACUUGUUUAGGAAUCCUAAUCAGGCCCAAUCAAGCCCAUAAAAGCUUUCCAGCCAUUGGAUCGAGAUCGGGAUCAACCUAUGCCCUCCGAUCACAUGCCGAUCCAUGGAAUAGUGCCGUGGACCUCAAAAAAUGUGUGAAAAAUGUCCACGCGGUCCACGCGGUGGACUGUGCACUGCCCGAUCCACCAUGGACCGAGCAACAGGCCUCACAGCGGGGUGCUGGGCCUGGGCCGCACCCCUGCGCACGGGGUCCUGGGCCGGCCCACGCGCUUGUGCGCCCGAGCCUGGGCCAGGCCCGCCCGCUAGGCCGCGCCCUGCACGCACCCAGUCCACAUGCUGCCGCAUGCUGGGCCACGUACCACCGUGCCACUGCCUCUCCAACGGCCUACAGCUUGCCGGCGGUGAUCCUCCACCACUUCAGAUUCCGUGCCGAUUUCAAACGCGCAUAUCUCCUCCGUCCGAGCUCUAUUUUGGGUAAUCUUAGUCUCAUUGGACUCCAUUUUUAAUCGUAGACCUCAUUGUGGGCUCAAUGUGGAUCGAACUCAAGGUAUCAAAUUCUAACAAAAAUUGCUUAAAACUCCAUUGAUCCAACUGAAAAUCUAUACAAUGGACAAGGAGGCGUGGAGAAAUGGCAGGUUCAUGGAGUAGCAAAAAAAAAUGAAUCUUGUGCAGUUGAAGCAAUCAAAAGUACAGAUACAAUGUGAUAUGCACAACUAACCUCCAUAAACCCCCUUUUCUUAUUAUAAUAAGACCUUGGGGACAGUUCUAUGGAGUUGUCCAUGGCAUGUCUAUUCUCUCUCGACCCAAGAGAGUAUCCCUUGCCUUGUACUCCACUCCUCUUCGCUCCAGUUCUUCCGCCAGAGUUAUUGCUCUUCCGAUCAAUAAUAGUGGACUUACGCAUCAAUUCUCUCUAAAGUCAACAAGAAUCUCACUCUUUUUUUUUUCCUUUUUUGUUUCACAUGCCAACCCGAACCAUACAAAUCAGAUAUGAGAUCCUUGAGGGUCAAUCUCAUGAAAUAUGCAAGGCCUUACAAAGACCUUGAACCCAAUUCUUCUUGGUAGCGAAAGCAACAAAAGCAAAUAUCAAUCUUAUAAUUAAGAGAAUAUGGCUUAUACCAAUGUAACUAUUAACUCAAAUCUAAGUGCUUCAUUGGAAACCAGAGUACUAAACUUUUCAUCAUGCAAGGAUCCAAGUAUCAGCAAAUACAACUACCCCAAGUUUUAGAUGGAAAUAUCUAUUACCACUAACAGAAUUAUAGUAGCUUGGAAGAUUUCUUUCAAGGUAAAAGAUGAAAUCCAGUCUAUACAACUAAACAAUAUGUUGCACGUAGUCACACUUGCGAAAUAAAUACCCAAUCAAACUCUAUGUCCCAAAUACUUGUAAAAAGGGAAAAAAAAAGGAAAAGAAAAACAAGCCAGCGAGCAUGAUAUCCAAGUAUCCCACAUACACUCUCCUAAUUUAAUUUAGGAUCAAAAAUAUAUGCAAGUCAAAUUUUCAUGAAGGAUCCAAGAAAUAUAGUAAUGUAAAUACAAAUUGAAUUAUUAAUUUAUAUAUAAACAAAAGAUUAUGCAAUUUCACCAAGUUUUGAAUCAUCCAUUCUCACAAUCCAAGAUACAAAAGAACUUUCGAUAACGCAUUCUCGUUCAUGCUUAUGCCCCAUGGUCAGUAUUGAUCUCUUUGUCAUGCUUAUGCCUUAUGAUUAGGCAUGAAUCACAUGUGAUGUUUCCAGUUGGUGACGAGCACCAACCUUAUUUGAGGUUUCCCGCCCGUGAUGGAGAAUAAAUUUCAUGUCAUGCUUAUUGCUAGGAAUCAAUUUCACGAUGUCAGUUAUCAAAUGCAUGGGCAUGCCAUCAACACAUCUAAGGGCAUUUAUUAAUUUACUUAAAAUAUUAGUUUCAGAAAUGAAGGUUUCAUUUUAUUUCAAACAAAAAAUCCUAUUAUAAAAUCAUAAGGGCAUUUUCACUAUAAGGAUUAUUAUUUUGUUUCAGUGACUCCAAUAUAUAAUAAGAAUUAUAACAUAUGAAUAGUUCACUUAAGUUAGAUUACAUUCUAAAAUUAAGUUUUUGUUUGAAGGUAAAAUAUAUUUUUUAUUAGGUUAAACAUUAAAAGAUUAUUUGAGUAAGAGCAAUUUGAUCAAAUAACUUUGUUAUUUCUUUACUAAUGACUAGAAUUUUUAAUGUGAUAAUAACUGUUACUGAAAUUAUUGUUAUUUUAGUCACAAAUAAUCAUAGUGAAGAUAGAAUUUGAUAAAUAGCAACAUUAUAGUGGCUGAUAGUGGUCUUAAUAGAGACUAAAGCGAUAAUAUUUCUUCAUAAAUUGGAACAGUGAUUCUUAAUAAAAUAAUAUUUCUCUUUCAAAGUUCAAAUUUGGGAACCAAGUCUCCCUUCAGAUAAAUAAAAUAUUCACCCGGCUGAAAAUAUUCAUCAAGUAGAUACAUUAAAAUCUCAUUAUAACCAUCAUUAUUUAACAUCAAAUAAUUUAAAAUAGAAAAACUAGAAGGGAAAUAACGCAACGGCCACACUAAAUGGCCGUCUUGGUCAAUAAUGGUUUCUAUAAGGGCCUCGGCUGCAAUAAGCGCUCGCGUUGGUCAAUAACCGCAGGAAGCCUACCUGGACCCGGCGUUAAGCGUGCUUAUAAUGUUGCAAUCAGGCCCGAAGCAAUCUUGCUCGUCAAUCGCCCAACCACAGACCAGUGGAAGAUAGAGAGAGAAACCAAUCGAUGGAGAAGUAUAGAGAACUGAGGGCCGCGGUGGAGACGGUGGCGGCGGUGGACGCGCACGCCCACAACCUGGUGGCGCUCGACUCCUCCUUCCCUUUUAUCCGAUGCUUCUCCGAGGCGGAGGGACACGCCCUCGCCUUCGCCCCCGACUCACUCUCCUUCAAGGUUCUCUCCUUCUUAAUCUUUCCUUUUUUUUUUGCUUUUCGAAACUUUAAUCGUUGAUAAUGUUGUUAUAGGAGUAUUAGUGGGAAAAGAAAAAGAAAAGAAGAUAAAACCUUAUAAGAAUGCGUUAUUCUCCAAGAUCUUCUUCUUCUUCUCCUCUCUCCCGUCUUUUCGUUUUCACUAGGUAGACAUUUGGAUCUUCGCCCUCAAAAACAGGCAUUUAUUUCUCCAAUCUACCCCACAAAUUCGAUCACAAACAUCUCUGGGAAAGGGGAAACACACGUACCCCGAAAGAAAGACGGAUUAUCUCAUCCACGACCAGUGAAAUUUGUUGGAAUAAUUCGUUGAAAGAAGCGCUUUCACCAGCCUUGAUCCCUUUUUCUCCUUCUCUUUUGCCUCCUUUCCUUCCGGGUUGGCUUGGAAGAGCGUGGGCUAUCUGAUGCGGUUGCUUGUGGGGACACGAGACGCAUCUGGGUCCUAACUUAUCGCAUGCCGUAGUUCUUCCUCCGGAUCACCGAUCUCGAGUCGCUGCCGCUCCCGCCUUCUGAGCGGCCGGGAUCGACGAGGAAGCCUAUGGGAUGACAGACUUAAAUGAACUCCCACAGGAAUAUUCUUGAUCCCUCGUUUGGAUCGUCCAAUCUAUUUCUGGGCCACCAUUAGGACGGUGGUAUGGAAAUUUCAAUCGCGAAGAUAAGGCUGGCCGAGGUCCAUCGUUUUAGACGGUCCUGAUCUCCGAGCCCCAGAGGGCGGACCUAUCUUGUCAUAGACCUCGCGAAGUUCUGGUUUUGUAUUAAACGGUCCGUAGCAAGACCUUUGAGGCGCUUAUUAAGUUUUUGCCUGCUCAUGCUUCGAAAAAGACAGCCGUCACCAAAUCUCACGUGAUUUAGGAACAAAGAAAAAGGCAUAGUUAUAAAGAAGAGUUAUCAGAUUUACCGUUGUAGCUAGGGGCCUAGGGCAGGAAUAGGGCCGGAUUAGGUUGGGUUUCUAUGCAGCCUGCACCUGGUUCAAAAAAAAUUUAGGAUGUGGGCUGGAUAGGGAUUUUUUUUUUUUUUUGCGAGUAAAUUACAAAAAUCUUCCUAAUAUUUUAUUUAUUACACUCACAUCCAAUAGUUUUUAAAAUCUACACUUACACUAGUUAAAAUAAUGUUUACUGCAUGUAAAAAUGUUGAAAUUGCCCUUGAGUAGGGAGGAAGAUAUAUGUGUUUUCUUAUAUCCGUGGAUGGAUGUUAUGUCACUUAAAAUUACUUUGAUCAUUUUUAAAAUUUUUCUAAUGCGGCAUUUGGAUCCUAUUUAAGGUCAACAAUUUGAAUAUCAUUCUAUUAAGUUAUGGAUUAAAGUGUUGGAGAAAAAUAAACCUCAAAAGGAUAAACGUAGGUUUUUCAAAUUAUUGGAUGUGAGUGUAAUUCACCUCUAAUCUUAGAGAGAUAUUUGUAAUUUACUCAUUUUUUUUCUGAAAUUUUGGCACGGUCCUGACCCUAGCCCAAAGCCAACCUUAUCUUGGAACCCGAUUGGGCCAGCCUAGAGAGGGGAAGAAAGAGUAGAGAAGGGAGAGGGACCUAGUGAGAGAAAGAUGAAUGGGUAGAGAGAGAGUGGGGAGGGUAGAAAAAGCUUGGGUGGGGAGGAGAGAGUACUUGAGGUUGGGGGACUGAGGAAUGAGAGAGAGUGGUGUUUUUCUCAAGCCAUAUUUGGGUCUGGUUAUAGGUACAGGCUUUAGCCUAGGCUAAGCAUUAACCUGUGUCUGCCAGGAAUUCCUUGGAGUUUUGACUCUAUUUUCAGGUCCAAGUUCGAAUUGCCUCGAGCCUAGGUCAUGGCCCAAGCCAAAGCCAGUCCGACAUGAUAGGCCUUGGGCCGACCAGAGACCAUUUUUAGCCCUACUUAUAGUUUGAGAUGGCCCAAGUGGAGUGUUUGGAGAUGUAUCACUUUCCUAAGUUGUCGAUAGCUCUUCCUUUUCCCAUAGUGGAAAUUGAUGUCUAAUAUCUUAGUAUCAUUUCAUUUGAUGUGGAGUGUUUGGAUAUAUAUCCUGGAUAAAAGUGCAUGCGGUACGCUAGUGUCUUGAUCCAAAAUUUUGCUGGAUCUGAAGUUUUAGGGGCUAGACUCAUAUAAAUUUGACUAAUCUUUGUGGGGUCUAAAUUUGCCUCCACUUGCAGUUGAUGGUUGCAUAGGCAUUGACAUUUGAAAAACAACAUGAUGCAUAUCAUUUCAGAAGUGUUGCCUGCAUAUCUGUAAUGAACAUUUUAAUUCUUCGGUCCAUCAAUAGACUUAUUCUGAUAGGGUUUUCAAUUCAAAAGCAUUCAAGCUAACAUACUAAUUGUUCCUUAUCGUUAUGAUACAUAGUAAUGGAUACAUGAACUCUAAUUGUUCCAUACUGUUAUGAUACAUAGUAAUUGAUGCAUGAACUGCAGAGGAGCUUGAGGGAUAUUGCGGGACUUUACAAUUGCGAGGCAUCCUUGAAUGGAGUGGAAAACCACAGGAAGUUCGCUGGAUUGCAUUCAAUUAGUUCAAAAUGCUUUGAAGCGGCCAAUAUAUCUGCAGUCUUUAUUGAUGAUGGCAUUCAGUUUGACAAAAUGCAUGACUGGCAAUGGCACAAAUCUUUUGCUCCUGCAGUUGGCAGAAUAUUGAGAAUUGAACACUUGGCUGAAACAAUUCUUAAUGAUGUGAACUCUUCAUCUUUGUUUUCCUCUUUGGUGUUUCCUUCUAGAAUCAGUUUGCAUGCUCAUUUUUAUGUUGUCAUGCACAAAAUAUAUUUCUUUACUGUUGAUUAAGUUGCUGUGUACAUUUCUAAUCUAGUUUAUUUAGCUCUGCUGCUUGGAUAAUAUGAUUGAUUAAUCAUCUACAAUCUAAAUGAAUUCUUGGAAUUCUUGUAACAAAGACAUACUUUAUAACAGUAAACUGAUAUAAGUAUACUAUCUGAUGCUUCUAUUGAAUUUCUUUUUCUGCAUAGAAACAAAUUCUUUGUAAUUACUUUCUGCAAUUUCCACAGUCUAAUUCUAUUAUAAUUCUACCUAGAUAACCUAAAAAAGA